rnacentral:lncRNA from 1 species
CUGUCACUGCUGCUGCUGCUCUCGUGUCCGUCCUCGUGCUUCUUCUUCUUCUCCUUCUUUUUCUUCUUCUCUUCACCGUGGGCGGCGCCCUCGCCGCCGCCGACACCGGGGAUCUUCUGCUUGAUCUUGUCCACCAAGCCCUCCUUGUGUUCGCCCUCCUUGUGUUCCCCGCCGUGAUGCUGCUGCUGAUGGUGAACAUCAGUAGUGCCGACACCGGGGAUCUGCUGCUUGAUCUUGUCCACCAAGCCCUCCUUGUGUUCGCCGCCGUGAUACUGCUGCUGAUGGUGGACAUCAGUAGUGUGGUGGUCCCCACUAUGGUGCUCUCCCUUGUGCUUGUCCUCCUCCUUUUGCCCUCCUCCCAUGUGAAGGGCUUCUCCGAUCUUGUGAAUAACUCCUGACAUUUUCCCUUAAAAUGACUCUGUUCCUCUUCUUUUCUUUUCAAUGAAAAAUAGUUGUUUGCGAUCUUCUUCUGGUUGUUGUUGUUCUUGUUGGGUGAUCUUGGCUUGGUAUUUAUAGGCUCCAAAAGGAGGGACUAGAAUUAGGAUUAGAUUAUAGAUUAUUUUAAUACAUUUUAUGGCAAAUUCUGAUUUGGAAAGAUAAGAUUAUCCUUUUGGUUUUCCUUAUUUACCCUUUUGCACCCAUUACGUGUACGCGUCUUCGUGGGCUUUUUGGGUAUUUCAAUUAUAUCGCCAAUGCUAAAUCGACACGUUGCAUAUCAGCCGCGGUACUGCCGUAUGUAGUUGUCCAGAAAUCGAGUCGAUUCUCGAUCGUACAAUAAUUAAAUAAUAUUUCAUACGAAAUGAGUUUAGAUAUAUUUUGAAAAUUUAUUUUUAAUUUAAUUAUACGUGUUAUAUAUUUGUUAAUCGAAUAGAGGUCCCACGUAACAGAGUGUUUCUCUAAUCUUUCAUUGCUUUUAAUUAAUUUUACCCAAAUAAAAAAAAAAAGGAAAAUUUAGAGAGAGAGAGAGAGAUAGCGAAUUAGAAGUUGAUUGUAAUAUCGACACCUGUCAGACAAUCAAAUAUCGUUAGUUAAAAAUCAGUUGUCCAUAGUCAUGGUCAUAGAUGGCGAAAUUGAUACUUAUUUUAAAAAACAAAACAAAACAAAACGAAACGAAACUAAACUAACAGAUGUUGAAAUGCAGUUCCGUGUUAACAGUCUGUGAUGAAUCUUUAUCUUUGAGUAUACCAUUCAAGAAAUUAUCAUUCAAAAAUUUAUUUAAAGCAGCAGCAAAUCACCUUCUAAUUCCUGAAUCAAAUUAAUUCGAUUUUUUUCGAGUCGAUCAAUUCAUUAGAGAAUUAACGGGCUAAGUUAAAGUUUUGUUAGUUAUUUUUUUUUAUAUUCCUUUAGAUGAUAUGAUUGUCAUUGUCUUUCUUUCUCUGGGCAACAAUAAAUACAAGAUGUGCAAAAGCGUAGUGGAACAUAAUUCGAUUAUGGGUAAAGGGAUCAGUCCGCAUAAUGAGGAUAAAGUUUUUCUCUUUAAAAAAAUUUAACCCAAAGAAAAGGUCGUAGUUUGUAAUAGCCGACACGCAGAUAGAUCACAAAGCAUGGCGGUCCUGAUGGCAAUAACUAACUGAUAUCUUCUGCGAUGAGAGGAGAUCACGUGGUUCUGACACGUAUCGCCCCAUCAACUGAUGUUGUGGCUGCAAUCGCGGCCCAGUCUUUAGAGAGAAGAAAGAUCUGUUAUAACGGGACCUACUUUAGCAUCUAUUUACGACAAAGCCCCUAUUUACUCUACUUAGUAGUAAUAAUAGCAAGUGUCGGGCUUGGAUUCCGUGUUGCUUUAAAUAAAUAUCCGCGUAAAAAGAAAAUGCUUCUUUAAUCCCUUCCUUGUAAUUUUUCGACACGUGGAUGGUUGAAAUUAGCGUGCCGACAUCUUAGGAAUUUUAUCUUGGAGACGGGAACACUGCAGUAGGCAAUGCCAUUUUCUUCGGAUGGUGUGUGGUGACAACGCCUUGGAUUUUGACGUGCAAAGAAUUUAAAUUGAAAAAGAAAAAAAGAAAUUACCAGAAUAAGCAUAGAAGAGAUAUUUUUCUUUUUGUCCUUUUUGGAAUGGAAAAAGAGAUCAAGAGAUUGUUCCAGUAAGUAUUACACAUGUCACAGGCUUAUUCAUGCCCCAUUAUGGCAACUUUUAUGCCUCGCGGUGCCCUCGGUUCCAGCAUAAUAGCUAAGACUUCAAUUUUUCUAACAUAUUUUUGUUACAAAUAUGAACGGAGUAAAUGUAUAACUUUAAUCCUUUGAAUAAAGAAAUGGCGGUUCUCCUGCUCGUUAAUCUCACUUGAAUCCCACCCAGGCAAAAUUUCUUUAUUUUAUUUAACAACAAUUUAAAGAAAGAAACUUUUGCCAGGUUGAAUUUCAAGUGAGAUUCAUUCGUGGGAGAAGUGCCAUUUCUUUAUUCAAAAGAUUAUGGUAAUUACAACUUUCAAUUUCGACAUAAAUUAAAAUUAUAGGCUAUACAAUAAAAUUGCCCUAAAUUAGUCCUAAUCAAUUCAGAUUAUAAAUUUAGGUAUAUUUAUUAUUUUAAUAUAUUAAUGUUCUAUAUAUAUAUAUAUAUAUAUAUAUAUAUGUGUGUGUGUGUGUGUAUNNNNNNNNNNNNNNNNNNNNNNNNNNNNNNNNNNNNNNNNNNNNNNNNNNNNNNNNNNNNNNNNNNNNNNNNNNNNNNNNNNNNNNNNNNNNNNNNNNNNNNNNNNNNACAGCAGAAAAUAUUUGCUAUGGAUAAGGAGACAUGGUCCCACGUCCCACCGUCCCAAUGCAUAUUUUGUAUGUUUCCAUCUUUUCUGAAAUUUUAAUAAAUAAAGUUUUUUGACCACUUGGCCAAAGAACCUUACCCUUACACAACUUUGUGGUUGGAGUCCUGUGAUACAUGUAAGAACUUAUUUUUUUUCUUAAUUAUAAUAUUUUAGAAUAUAAUUAAGUGAAGUAGGUUUUUUUUUUAAAUAUGAGUAAAAUAGAUAUUUUUUAAAUAUUAAAGAGAGUAAAAUUUGAAUAAUAAUAUAUUAAAAUUAAUACAAACUAAUUUUAAUAAUUAUUUAAUUAUAAAUAUCAAUUAUAACAUCAUAUAAUAUCAAUUAUAAUAUCGUACAUCUCAAUUAAUUCAAUAAUAAUAAUAAUAAAUGUUUUUUGGGAUAAGUAAACAGUCGCAUGGCGACAAUAGUGGAUCUGGAUUAGAGUGAAGUGGUCCCAAGAGGCUGAGGCUGUGGCUGUGGAGUUCUAAAAGUCAAAAGCUCCACGCACUUUGUUUCAGUACCAUACACACUGAAAAAAUUUGCAUUUGCAAUGACGAAAACUUUUCACGAAAUCAAAACACCUCUAAACUAUUUUGUUAUCGAUAUUUAAUGGAGGGGUUUCCUACCUUUUUAACACUCGAUUCACGCCUUGACGCAUCUCACAGAAAACCUCAUGAUCCCAUUAAUCUUGCGUAACAUAUCUCAAAGCCAAUGCAAGUGAUCUUGUUGCCUACUUCCCUUUGACGAUUCAAAAUUGUUGAAAAUAAUUCUUUUUUUUUUUAACCUCAAGGAAGUGACAAAAUAUAAAAGAAUAUUUUCUACACAUUAAACAUCUAGAUUUUUUUUUCUUUUCUUUUUAGAGUACUUGCACAAACCGUUUCCAAGAGAGACCUUUUUUUUUUUUUUUUUUUUCCGGGCUUGGUUACUAAUUUGGUGUGAAUACUCUAUGGUGAAAAAGGAAUCACAAAGCUGUAAUCAAUUUUUUUGCAUCAUUUAGUUGUAACUUGAACAUUGGGAGGUUUAUAAAGAAUUAAAUUAAUUAUAAUGCCUCUACUAGGAAAAGUUCAGAGUAGCCCUUCACAACUUUUUAAAGGCUUAAUAAUUUUCGCUUUCUUCCUCUCAUAACAUAACAAAAAAUUAAGAGCUUUACUCGUACACGUCCUAUGGCUAUAUAGUAUUGGGUUCUCUACUUCAAUCGGCUAUCUCAAACCGAAGGUUAUUUGGACACACCAGCAGUCACGUUUGGAAACUCUCAAAUGCUUGGAUUGUAAUUCUUGUGGAUGAGAUCAUCUAAAUCUUGGGCCCAAGCCGGACAAUGGGUGGACAAAGAACCCUAAAAUACAGUAAAGCUUCUAACACCCCACUAAAACUCUUAAGAAAUCCUACCUUUUAUUUUUAUAUCUCUUUCUUUUAGAAAUUAUAGAGAAGACAUAGCAUUUUAAUUAUUUUCCCUGCCAUUGAAAAUAAAUUCUGUAAACAUAUUUUUUCAUAAUAAAAUUAUUGUUAUUAGAUAAUUUAUUUCUUCAUUGUUUCAAAAUUAUUAUAAUUUUAUCAACAAAAUUAGUUAUGUCAUAUAUUAGGAUUAAAAUUAAUUAGGAUCCAUAACUUGUAAAGACAUUUUAGUUUAAUUGAAUUCAUAUUUGUCAUUUUAUGUAAUUUUCAAUAAAAAUACGACUAUGAGUGCAAAAGUGGGAUGACAUAAUAUUAAAAGAGUGUGAAAUAAUCGGUAAUUGAAAUGGAUUGAAAUCAUAAUAGAGUAUGAAAAUCAGAAUAAAUUGUUUACUUUAGUUGUAGAAAUCAAAAUUAAAAUAAACCAUAUUAUCAUUGAUGUAUAUAUGUUUUCUUGUAAUCGAAAUGAAUUCUUAUAAGUUACUAUAAGACCCUUAUGGUGUGUUUACUAAUCAGAAAUCAGAAUGGAGUGGAAUUUGAAUAUAGAAUGGUAGGGGUAUUCGCGGAUCGGAUUUUACGGAUUGGACAUUAAUUCAUAUCCGAUCCAUAAUUUUACGGAUUAUAAAUUCUCAACACAAUCCAAAUCCAAUCUAUAUGUUUGCAGAUCGGAUGCGGAUUUGACUCAAUUCAUAUCCAAUCCACUAUUUGACGGAUUGAUUUUGGAAUUAAAAAUUUUUAAUUUUGUCCAAUCUAUGAGGUAAUUAAAUUUAAAAAUCUAAUAUAAAAAUAAUUUAUUAAAUAAAAAAUUAACGUAAAAAUAAUUUUACUACCAAUUAAAUUCAAAAUUGAACAAGAUUUAAAUAAAUUAAUUAUUUAAAUAAAACUAGAAUAAUUUAUUUAAAAUUUUUAAAUAUAACAUAUCGAAAAAAAAUUCAUUUGUUUAGAUUAAUAUAUGAAAAUUAACUAAAAUUAUGAAUUUAAAUGUUGAAAUUUGAGAGCUUGGAUGUAACAGGAAGAAAUUAAGAAACUUGAAGAACUUGAAAAGAAAGUAACAAAUUAAGCUUAACUACCUCUAAUGGUGAAGUGAAACAGUGAUGGUUUGUGCGUGCAAUGGGGUACAAAUUUGGCAUUAUAUGCCAAAAUAUUUUGUUUGGCUUUAGAAUUUUUAAUGUUUAGGAAGCUAUAUUUGUUUAUUUAAUUACUCAAAUAUUUAAUUAUUUUUUAUUUUAUGUUAUUAUUGAAUAAGAUAUAAUAUUGUGUUAAUUUAGCUAUACUUUAAUUAAUUAAUUAAUUUAUUAGUAAGUAGCAUUGCUACAUUUAUAAGUUUUAUUUUUUAUUAAAUAAAUACUUUUUUUUUUCAGAUUCACGAAUUUUUACGGAUUUACAGAAAUAAAUCCAUAUCUAAUCCAUCGACUGUGGUUUUUUAAAUUUUCAUUCCAAUCCGAUCUACCAAUCCACAAAUUAUAUUUUUACGGAUCGGACGAAUUGAGCGGAUCAAAUUGGGUUCUGAACACCCCUAGAGAAUGAGAAUCAAAAUAAAUUAUUUACUUUAGUUGUGUGAAUCGGAAUUGGAAUAAAUUGUACUGUCAUUGAUGUGUUUACUUUAUCUUGGAAUCAGAAUGAAUAAUUUCAAAUUACUAAACUGACCUUAAUUUUUUAUUGUAAUAAUAAUAGUAGUAGUAGUAGUAAUAGUAGUAAUUUUCUAUUAUUAUUAUUAUUUUCUCUCUCUUUUGUUUUUAUUUUUUUAUUUUUCUCUUCUUCUUCUCUUCCUCUUUUUUUAUUUUUCUCUAAUUCAUCGAUACUUCUUCUUCUUCUUUUUUCUUUCGUUUUUAUUUUUAAUUUUUCCCUUCUUUAUCGUUCCUUCUUCUCCGUCCAUUCUCUAUCUUCAAACUCUUUUUACUUUUUCUCUUAUUCUUCAUUACUUCUUCUCCCUUUUUUUUUUUUUUCUCUUCUUUAUUAAUUCUUCUUCUUCUGCGUCUAUUCUUCAUCUUCAAAUUAUCAAGUGAAAAAUACCCACGGUGCCUUACAAGAAGAAUUGGUUUUGUUUGCUUCAAUUAUUUUUUGUAUUUUGUACUUUUGAUUGUUUCAAAAGAGGAUAAACUUGUAAUAAUGCAAUUUAAGUAGGGAUGUUUUAGACAAUUUUGGGUAUGAGAGUCUAAUUCCCAACCCCCCACUCCCUCGUAGCAGACUCCCAUUCUUCAUUCCUAACUUGGUGUUGGACCUACUAAAAUAAAUCCCAUUCCCCUUCUUAUUUCAAGAAGCAAACACGAUUUUGAUUUCAAUUCCCCAAUCCGAAAGUAAACGCACAAAAAUUGUACCCAUAUGAGAUUGCUUAUCCUCGAGUUUUUAGAUUGAAAAAAAAAAAGGAAAAAAGAAUGGCCCCAUUAGGAAGGGAUUUUAAGUGUUAGAUAAAGCCGGUGUUAACCAUUAGAAGGUCUCCGACCUUCAACUGUAAUAUAUUAAACCCAGAUAAAUUUACAUAUAAAUCACACAAACCAACAUGCCAAUCAAAUAAAUUACAUCAACUAACAACAAUUGACACAUUAAUUUUCAUAAUACAGAGGAUGCAGAAAAUUAAAAUGUUUUAUCUUUUCUCCUUAUUUGUGAAUUGGAAAAUGAAAAUGUUAAACAUACAGAAGAGUGAAACAGGAUGGAUAUAUAUACACACACACACACACACAGCUUUGGAGUUCAAUGUCAUCGUAUUGCUCCAAGAAGAUUGGCGCCAUCAAGCUUUGCACCUUCCAGAUGCUGUUUAAUCAUCACCAUAACACCUUCAGUAGACAUUAAUACAUAAUAGAAACACAAAAUUCACAUGAUCUGAAUGUCUGGUCUAUUUUACUUACCGUAUCUCGAAGAUUUACGUGCCGUAAAUAAGCUCUUUGAAGGUUGGCACCCUUUAAAUUGGCAUUACGUAGCUUUGCACCCUGCCGCAUAAAUGUUCGAAGUUUCAACAAAUUAAAGUCUCCUGAGAAAUACAUGUCACGAAAAAGUAGGGCUGAAACUUGCAUCUAAUGUACAAGAUUCAAUCAGGGGUGCUUGUCCCACAGUGAAAGUGUAUGGGGGAAAGUGCACUUUCACAAACCAAAGGGGCAAGAUGUGAUUAUCACACGAUUACAAAAGGACUGUAGUCAAGAGAGAGAACUGAACAUGCAGCUUGUAUUGAGGCCAUGAAAAUUGAUGAAAAGCAGUAACAAGCAACCAUUUUGAAAACACUUCAUAUGGUCGAAUCAAUAAAUCAAAGCUAAAAUGAUGUUGACGAUCGAUAGCUUUUAGGUGAUAAGAGUCUUGGCACUACAGUUAAAAUUAUUAUCUAGGAGUGCACACAUUAAUAAAAAAAAACACAACCAAUAAGCAUGCACUCUUAAUCAGCAUAUAAAUUAACAAGUUAGUUGCACCUUAUGUUGUUCCACAAACAGAUUGCUCGAACAAUUCACAAUCUUACCUUCAAAUUAGCUCCUUCCAAAUUAGCUCCCUCUAGGUUGGCAUUAGUAAGAUCAGCAGUCUGAAAAGUCAAGAGGACAAACAGAUUGCAAUUUGAUUAAAAUCUCAAAGUAGCAACAUUCUGCAUGAAAGAAGAGCAGCACAAUUGGCAACAUACAUUUUAGAUUAAGAGGAUGGGAUAAAAGCAAAAUUACAAGGACAUGAAGCAAAUGAGCCAUGUUUAGUAUGGCAAUUUUGACCCAAUAAUUGUGGCAGGUCUUGGAGAUAACAUAGGCAUACACAUAAGGCAGAAGCAAAUACUGUCGCAAACUCCUAGCUAACUACAAAUGUUCCAUAUAGAAAAAAACACCUGCAAAAGUAAGGGAAAAAGCAACAGAUAAAGAACUCAAGAUGCUAGACCUGUAAGUGUGCAGAUCGCAGGUCUGCUCCACAGAAGCUGCAGUCUAUCAAGCAAGCAUCUGCAAUGAUUUAAGAUAAAUUUGAAUCCAAAUGACAUUUUACCGCAAGUAGUUCCAGCCAUUUUGGGAACAAACAAGAAAUGCUAUUUUGUAUUCAUUGUAAUUCCUUAAGCUAAAUAACAAUCAUGUGCUAUCUUAACCAAGGUACAGUUGCAAAUUCUGAAAUUGUGAUGCCAUAGGUUGUUCUUAAUCUUUUUGAACUGAAUAUUGAAAAAAUAUUCCUUCAAUCAUAAAUGUUAAAUAAUUAAAAGAACUGUGAGGGGGGNNNNNNNNNNNNNNNNNNNNNNNNNNNNNNNNNNNNNNNNNNNNNNNNNNNNNNNNNNNNNNNNNNNNNNNNNNNNNNNNNNNNNNNNNNNNNNNNNNNNNNNNNNNNNNNNNNGGGGGGGGGGGGGGGGGAAUGAAUAAGCGGAUGCAUACAGAAAAUUAUGGAAAAUCUGUUAUGGAAAUAAUAUGAAAAUGGGUAUGCAUAACUACAUACUGAAUCUUGACUAAUUUCAAUUUAAUUCAGAUAAGAAAUUCCAGUAUGGGAAUUGCCUUGUAAAUUUGCACUCUGAAGAUUUGCACCAGCUAGUAAAGCUCCACGAAGGUUUGCCCCAGCAAAUUCACAUCUUCCCUAGGCAAGAUAAAACCCUUAAAAGGCAAUUUUGAAAAAUACAUAUAAUUGGGAGAAUAUCCAGUAUUGCUUUGACUCUCUUACUCACGCAAAGUUGCAUUGUGAAAAAUGGAACCCUCAGCAUCCACAUCCUGUAUCAAGAACAGACAGAUUCAGUAUGAUUAAUAUAACUGGUUGCUGGAAGACAGGACAAAAUCGCAUCUUGUCACUGUCAACUUGCAUGUUAAGAAUUAAACACGAAAACUGCAUGCUGUCCAAUUAUAAGAAACCUAUAAAAUUCAAAUCAACAUCAAUACUGGCUUAAGGAAGAUAUAAAAAUAAAAAUUAUACCAACCCGAAAUUUCGCAGAUUGAAGAUUUGCACGUGAGAAGAAAACAUUUCUAAGACACGCAUAGCUGAAGUCCACAAGUGAAAGAUCCUGGCCAUUUUAAUAAGAUAGCAUCAGAGGAAACAAUAUCUAAUGAAUAUAUAAUGUUCUUUCUUGCUUAUCUGAGAAUACUAAUGAGAUUAUCAAAAAAACUCUAAGCUACUGCUAAGAAGUCUUGUGUUACAUGAGUAUGAAUUGAGGAGGUAAAGAAGACCCUUCUCCAAUAAGUUACCAUAGAAGCCACAUAAAACCCUAAAGCAGUUACAAACUUACAAUGACCAGAAUAAACCACCCCAACUAUCUAUUGGCAAGUAAAAUCACUUCUCUGGAUUUCUGAAAACUAGCAAAACAAAUGCAUAAAUUGGCAAAUUCGAUGAUUUCCUCUGAAAACCAAAUUAUAGCAGACAUAAAACUUGGAAGUAUUCAUAGAAUAAAAAUCUUUCAAGCACCUCAAUUCAGUAAUUAUUACCAGCUUAGAAAGAUCAAGGCCAGAAAGAUUAAGUCCUCGAAAUCUGACUUUUUCAGACUGUAUACACUUGAUGAUAUCAAUGCGUGUUAGCUCAGUAUCUAACUCAUUAUCUUCCUUUCUCUUAUUUAUGACAGCAUGGAUUCUCUCAAUUAGUCCCUGAAAUGAAACACAUUAGAUGCAAACUAUUAUUUGAAAAAAGAAAUACAUUUUAUCCACUAACACACAUGGAUUUCAACAGCAAUCAUACAAUAAUUGAGGAAGGACGGUCAUAUCAGACUCAUCUGCCAAGAUUCAAUAAGCACAUCAAACUUGUUUACAUGUAAUUUCCACAUUCCACGUGAAUUUAUAAGGUCUGCCUAAGCAAACCAAAGAAGGCUACACUCAGUACUGUGUGUAUACUGCCUUACCUUUGCUGUUCCCCAGAUACCGUCCUGCAAUCCAGAUACUUAGCUGUGAAGUUUCAAGCCAGCGAAACCAUUUUAAAAGUACACAUGGACACAGAUACCAUUAUCUGAAUCAUCUUCGAUAACAAAUUAAAAUGCCCUAGCGUUCAAAAAACUUAGGAUCUCUUUAAGUGAAGUUCCUUUAAAAAAGUAGAAAAAAACUGAACAACAAUGUCAUGCUAAUAAAAGGUAAAAAAAAUAAAAUAAAAUAAAGCAUAAGGACAGAAGUUCACCAGGAGCAUGCCAGUAUAAACCAAAACGACCACAAAUCUCAACCAUAAAAUUUAAAGUAGUAAAGUAAAUAAUCAAGGGCAUGCAGUUGGCACAGGUGCUUCCAAAUAAAAUGAUGAUUCUUUUCAAACAGAAAAAAGAAAUGGAUGUUAAUAAACUAGAAGAAACCAUGUCUUACAAGUAAUUGAUAAUAUUCUGCUUCCCGUAGAAGCUCUAAAAACUCUGACUCUGUUAAUGUGGGGACAGCCCCAUCCCUUAACCAAUUCAGAAUAUGCCGAAAAUGUUUUCCGUCCCUAUCAACAAAGAUAUAGCCCUGCAAUAAUUCAAUAUGCUCAAAGAUAAGAAUCUGAAUAAUAUACCCAAGAGAAGUGCUUUUCCCUGGAAUAAUAAAAAGAAAAUAAGUCAAAACGUUUUUCUUAAUGGAAGAACACAAAGGAACAGCUCUAUGACUAACAUGAAAACCAUAAAUCAGAAUAAGAACCCAAAACUGGUCAUUUGGAGUUUCACCAGAUCAAAAAGAUCACAUGGAAAUAAAAUUGUGAAAAUGGGAUUAUUUAUGCCGAGGUCAUGGCUAAACUGCAAUCAUUACUCCAUUUUUGGUAGAAGGAGAAGAAGAAAGAAGAGUAGGUGAGUCAUCAUUCUUUCAGGUGAGUCAUCAUUCUUUCUCUGUGAUUAAUUGAUAUGAUGGAAGUGUUGUAGAUAUUAAUUUGAUAGUGAUUCCUCCCUUCAAAAGAAUUCAUUCCUUUUUUUAUUAUUUCACAAAGUUUAACUAAGACUGAGUUUUCUCAAUUUGAAGGCAUCGUGCACUCUACCCCUUUCUUUUCCUCACAUUGCUUCUUCCCAAUCCCAAAGGGAAGAAAUCAAGAAACAAUUACAAUUUUUAACUAUUCACCAGCAAAAACAAGGCAAAGAAAGAUGCUGAGUGUAAGCAAAAAUAAGAGAGUUAUACACCUCAGAGUCUUGGCACACAGUAUGGCGACCGCUGAACAUAGCUGCAAGCAUAGAUUCAGGCUCACGACGAGUCAGAGUAUCAAUUGUUGUAUAAAAUUUCUUUCCCCCUGGAUAUUAAUACAUAAAAUAUAAAUUUGUUCACUUAAAAGCAUGAAUUGUGCAAAUUUGUCAAUAAUGUCAUUCUUUCACAAACGUUCACCGAAAUGUAUAACAAUAAGUGCAUCAUAACAUAACUAAACGGCUUAAGAACUGCGCAGAUAUUACAUACAGUAGAGAAACAAGAAAUAGAAAAUGAGAUUUGCCCUUUUUAAACAGAAAGCAAUCAAAGAGUAAACUAAAGAGCUAAUAAUUCACAAAAUUCAGUUGAUUAAACUCAUUUACAAGUAAUUAGCAACAAAAUCCAAGCUAAAUAAAAAUAAUGAAAAUUAGGUUCUUAUAACAUCCGUCAAUUCUAUGAAAGUUUACCACGAUCAGCAACAAAUAGAUAAAUCGCAAUAAAGAAAAACCGACGACAUGUCGGUUGUGUAGUGCAUAAGUAAAGGAAUUUGCAGAUGAUGUAAAGAGAAUGAGGGAUAGUAACUGACCGAUGUUGAGACGAACCAUUGAAGACGAAUCGGAGUCCUUCGCCAUUGUCGAGUGUAAUGACUUGUCGUCUUACUUGCGCUCAUAGGUAUUUAUAUCAUAGCUGACACUGUUCGAAGGACAGCAAGGAUUUGGUGGGCACAAAUGCAUUUUGGAAAUUGGGCUUCGGCCCAAGAAAUCGAAAAUCAGAGGCUUUUUUUUAAAAAAAAUUUAAAAGGAUUAGAAUGUCUAUAAAUUAAUAGGGCUGAGACCAUCUUAAAUCUAUUAAGUAAAAGAGAUAUUAAAUAUUUUAUUAAUUAAUAAUUUAUUAAUUUACAGAAUUAUUUAUAAUUCAAUUAACAUACAUUUAAUAACUAAACAUUCAAUGUACAUAAUUUCUGAUUACAAUUCAAAGCACUAACAAUACUUCAUAAUUUCUUAUUACAAUUCAAGAAUUCAACCUCAUAGCUUUUAGAUGCAAUAAGAAAAAUAAGAAAUAAGAUUCAGUUAUAUUUAAAUUUUAAGAAAAAAACAAUAAAAUCAUAUUUUAUGUAAUUAAAAUAUCAUAGUCAACUACAUUUGUAAUUUCAACAAAUUAUUACUCUAUGAUUUAAAUGAGACCACAAAGUUAUAUAAGAUUUUAUCGAAAUUAUUAAUUUAAUCCAUUAGUCCAUGUCAAGACCUUGAAAAUUUAAUAAUUAUAUAAUAGAGAUUAUUAAUUUAUCGAGUAUUAAUUUAUAGAAGUUCUGAUUGUAUAUUAUUUUAUAUUAAUAAAGAAUAAAGUAGCAUUCUUUUUUAAUUCCGAAGUAAUAAAAUUAUGGCUAAAUUAAGAGAGUAGAUAUAUUUUAUAACUUGGUUUAAUAACAUCACGCGCCUCCCUUGUAGUUUUGCAGCUUUGAAGCUUUAUAAUGAAUCCUAUUAGCUUUGGCUGGAAAGUUAUAUUGUUAAAGAGAGUUUAUAUAUUAAACAAGGUGAUCUAAUAUUUCCAAAACUAAAUUUGGGAUCAAAAAUAGAAAACAUUUGCAUGUUUUUACCUUUUGGAAGAAUUACUUGAUAAGUGCUUCACAGAAAAAUGCUUGCUAUUAUAGAGCACCCUAAAAAAAAUCCUUAAUAAUUGAGGGAUCAUAAUAAAGUUCAAUUCUAAAUCUGUCAGAUAGAUCGAAAGUAACAAACCAUAUAUAUUUAAAUCUAUUUAGUAAUCCAGGGUUACAAGCCAAGCGUGCAAUAGCCAAUUCUGAAAAUCAAAGCUCAGCCUAUGCUCUCUGAGCACAAAUAAGAUCUGAUAUAUACAUAUCGAAUCCUCCAUUAUGUGGAGUGAAAUUUCCAUCGUGUACGGUGUACCUAACAAUGAGAAAGCAUGGCAGCAUAAAUUCAUCUUCCAUGUUAUUCUACUUAUUAGUACUGGUUCCCUCAUAACUUCUCCAAAUCGGGGAGGUCUGCAAUGUGUAAAGCACGUAAUCAGAUAAAAGAAAGAGAGCCAAAAAAAAAAAAAAAGGUAACAGCCAAAAGAUUAAAUUUCUUUGAGAAAUAGAAAAUGGGAGCUUUUGGCAUAGGCACAGAAUAGAAAGUAACAGAGUCAUUUACAGUUGUUCAGAAUAUGCAAGCUGAAAACAACUUUGAAUGCAAUGGACAAUUCCUCCAACAAACAAUCGAAUUGGAUUGUGGAAGAGACAAAAGCUUAAUGAGGUUAUGGUUUUGGCUAGGUGAACUCAAAAUUCUUUUAUAGACCAAGUAGGUAAAAACAAAUCCCAUAUAGAUGGAUGAACCUCAUACCAUGAACAGUUAAUCGCGAACACUUGCAGGCUUAUGCACACGACUAUGAAGAUACUAAGGGUUUCACCGAUGGUAAGUGAAAAAUAUAUGAUGUAUAAUUUAAAUGGAAGCACAUAGUUUCGGAUUGAAUUCAAGGUUAAAGUUCCACAGACAGACAGAAGAGAUGAAGCUUAAAAACUUACAGAGCAUUCCUUCAUCAUCACUGCUUUCAUCAUUUUGGCCAACAUGCUGAAAAAAGAAUAUGAUUCAAGUUAAAUGAUUGAGCAACAAUAAAAAACGUGCAAAAUUAAUGCUCUCUCCACAAAAAUUUCAGUCUAUAUUGGUAAGAAGAAACAGGAAGAAAAAAUUACCUCAGCAUCAUCGUCAUUGGAAGCCAAAUCAGCUGUAAAGACCACAAAAUGUUUGGUUAGAACCAGUGGAAGUCUUACUCUAAAAUUUUUAAUUUUUGAAUUUCGAAAGAUCUCGUAAUGACAAAGAUUUUCAUAUCCAGUGACCAAGUUUUGAAAAUUAGAAUACGGAAUGACAUCAACUAAAUUCACUAAUAUAAGCUAGAGGAAUCCCUAGUAGAUAUAGCGCACAUGCACACAUGAUAUGCAUCCGAAUACACAAUAAUAAAUUAUCUCAAAGUCAAUAAGAAGCCAAAAUUAGAGAUAAACUUUUAGCCACUAUAAGGAAGACUGAUAUUUGCAGUGUGAUUACAAUAAACAAACAGAAACUUCACUACCCAUAAGUAAAACAAAAUAAAUAAAGGAUAAUAACUAACCAAGAAAUGGAAAAGCUCACAUUCUCUGAACACGCACCCCAAAAAGAAAGAAAGAAAUAAAUGUUCUCAUUGGAUCUGAAGCACAAGCAAUCCACUGACAUCCUUCUAUAAUUAGGUAAUUUAAAGGGGUUAAGCUCACAUCUUUUACGGAAGUAAGAAGAGAAUUAACAACCUUCCAGAGGAUUUAGGGAAAUACCACGAGGCAAGAAAAAAGAAAUAUCCUUCUUCAAUCUAGAUAUCCUGAUACUGCUCACCAUCUACAACAGUCUGUGGCUUAAAAAGCAGGUCACUGAUCUCUCCCUCCCUCUGGCACCAUUUUCUCUCAUGUCUCAUUUUUCCCUUCCUGCCAACUCCCACUACAGUAUUGAAACCUAUUCUAUCAACUCUUCCCCCUCCAAUAACAAGACCAAAACCAAUUUUACUCGCCGGUUAGCUAGGUAGUAAAUGGAAAUUUGUGAAUCUGUCAUUCAUCCGUAGAAACAAACCAGAACUGCAUAAAUUCUCUUCUCUCCCAACAGCUUCUUUUCUCCAGAAAUAGGCACAAGUAUUUGACAUGGAAACAGUUUAUCUAACAUGGCCACCUUUAAAGACAAAGACAUACUAAGGACGUGGUUUUAGAUACGGAUACAAGAAACAAUCACAAAAUGUAAAAUCUAUACAUAUGAUAUUAAUUUCCAAUGGAUACAGCAAUUCAUUCUUUGACAUAACUUCAUCAGAUUACUAGGUUUGAUUAGGUUAUACACACAUUUAUUCAUUUAUUGAAUCUACAUGCACUUAGAAUGAGAGGUACCUAUAAAAACAAGUUACCAGAAAACAAUACAGCUAGAAAACAUUAAUCUAAGUAGUUCUAUAGGUUUAACUAACUGCAGGAAAAAACCAUUGAUUUUGUCCGCCAGAUUAUCGAGAUCCUAAUUCUGGUAAAAAGAAAAUGAGAUAAUAGAAAAUCAAAAAUUAAAUAGACACAAAAUGAGAAAUCAAGAUCAUAUGGCAACUAAUAUAUAGCAUGGGCUGCAGCUAACAAGCAAUAUAAGCCAUGAUAUUAUGCCAGAUACAAAUUUUGAGAUCCAAGAGAGAUCAAGAAGCAUGAAUACCACUAAAAUAUCGAAAGAAGUGAGUGCAGAAGGAUAAGAAAUCAGGUUGAUAUUCUUCAUACUUUGGAUCAACACGUAGUGAUGCAAUAAACUUGUAAUUAGCUUCAAAUGUAUAGGCUACCAUGUCAACAUUUCCGAAAACACACAAGAUUGUGCUGGAUUCAUACAUAGUACAUAUAUAAAAAAACAAUCUGCUUCUAAACUUCAUGAGAACAUCGAAUAAUGAACUUACAAUUUGAUCCCUCAUCAUCUUCAUCGCACCAUUUGUUCCAAUCAACCUUAAUGUAAGGUGCUGGUUUCUCUUCUGACUUGAGUAGCCUUUUCCACCAACCUUUCUCUUCUUUUUGGACCGAGCAUAUUAUGUUCCUUAAGCCAACUUUAGUCUUACAUUUCUGCACCACCAGCAACAAAACUCAAAGCAUUACAAAAGAGGUAUAUUUAGCCGCUCUUGACUCGAGUGAGAGAACAGGAUAAAUAGCCUAGGUAUAUCCACAUCCAUGUUAUGAGAUUGAUUAUGCAACAGCUAACUUUAAUAUAAAGCUUUUGCUUCAACAAAGACUAAAAUGUUUGUAAUUGUUAUGCUUUUGGAGCUAAAAUGUUUGGCAAACACCCACUUUUACUCUGCACCUAAUAUCUACCACCCACCCACACACUAAGUCUCUCGUUUGGUACAGCUAUUUAUCAGUAGUGGCUUUAAGCCACAACAUUUAAAGCGAAUUUACCCUAAAAUUUUACAAUGAAAAACCUAUACUACCUUUAACAUUGUUGUCAAAAUUAUUAUUAUAAGUAAUAUUUACCAAACACUAUCAACUUCCAAUUCAUAUCAAAGAGCUUUCACUCCACAAUAGCCGUGUCUUCUUAAGCCAGAACAACACAAUACCAAAGGCCUUAAGCUAGUGAUUUGAUUUCACAACAACUGCAGAUCAAGCCUCAAUCCCAAACAUACAUAAAUCAAAUGCAGAAAGCAAAAAUUUAACAAUAUGUUUGGUAUACUAAAUGUCUUUCAUAGUUUCAUUUCACAGGGUAUUUAGACAUGCAAUGAUAAAUUGGAGCAAUUUCAAGAACCGAAUUGACCUCAGGUAAAAUUUUGCCAAAAAGUUCCAAGCUGAAGUCGUAAAGCUCGCCUUGGACUCCGACGGCCGAGAAGCCAAAAAUCCCCUGAGGCUCGCAUUUCACAGAAAUGUCUUUCGCAUCGGGUAAUGAAAUGGUAAGGUAUACUUUAUCGGAGCGCUGAGCCCAAAGAACCUCCGGAUGGCGACUGAACAUAAAAGAAAUAAUAAUAAUAAUAAUAUUAUUAUUUUUUAUUGUGACAAUUUUGAACUAAUAAUUAGAGACAUUUAACAACAAUAUUGAUUAAUAUUGGAGAAGAAAAAUAAGGUUACAAGAGAGAAUCAGAAAGAUUACCUCAUUCUGGUGGAUGAUUGAAAACGGUGGGUCGAUUGAUGAACAGAAGUGUAACUGUCUGGGAGUGAGAGUGACUCUGCUGUUUACUGGGUAGAGUGUGCUUACUCGAAGAAAUUGAAAGUGAUAAUCUCGGGCAAGCCAACACGUCGAUUUGGUCAACAGUGGUCCAACAAACCAGGAACUAGGUUUUUUUUUUUAAAUGAUUUUUUUUUUCAGUAUUAUAUUGCCCCGCCCGUGGGCUAUUACAUUUUGGCCCUUUUGGGGACCCCUCGUUCUCUUACAAGAAGGGAAUAUUCUUUUCCAUCCACCGGUUUGUAGGCAGAGUACAUAUACUCUUCGAAAUUAAGGACAAAUUUCUGAAUCGUGCCGCAUUAGAAUUAAAUUGAGUCUCAAAAGAAUUUUGGUUAUAAGUAUAUCGUUCAAACGGUAAUAUAUUAAAAAAAAUAAUAUUUACUACAAUGUAGACCUAUCGGGACUUUGAAGCCCAGACCAAUUCUUGAGUCUAGCCUAAUAACACCUCAACAGAUCAAAAUUGAAAUCCAACUUAAAUUUCAAUAUUGUGUAGGGAUCUGCCUUAAUUUAGAUAUGUCAAGACCUGCCUUAGGCAUCAAAGUGAUCUAUCUUAACAUAACUAAGACUUUCUUUAAACAUCACAAUGAUUUAUCUUAACGUAGUCAAAUCUAGCCUAAAAAAAUCUAAAGAAGGAAAAAAGAAAUUAUUUUCACGUAUUGAGAGACUUAAAUUCUUAACCUUAUUCAUAAGAAAAAAAAGUGUAUUACUUAACUAAAUCGUGACUAAAAAUUAUAAUUAUUAUUUUUUGUACAUUUAGCUUUAAAAAAUCAUUAUAUAUAUAUAUUCAUAUAAGUUUUGACAUAAUAUACAUACCACUUAUUUGUUUUUUAAAUUAUACGAGAAUGAAAAAACUCAAGCAUUAAACACCAACUUUUGUUUCAUGCUAUCAAUCAACUUGAGAAAUUUUAUAAUAUAUCGGAAGUUCUACGUCACAAUUUAAUACGAAGCCUUCGAUUAAUAAUAAUUAGACACAUGACAAUAGAUGCUAGAGAAAUUUUAAAUUCCCUCUUUUCAUUAUCCCUCCAAAUUUAGAAUUUCAAAAAAUUAGAGAAUAAAUGUUGCUUGCUCUCUUUGUUAUCUAAUUCUAAUUAUUAUUUUUUUCUCUCUCUCUCCAAUCAAGUUGCUAGCAUUUUUUAAAUCUAUUGAAGAAUAAGAAGAAGGUUUUUGUCGAUGAAAUGAUUUUGGCAGCCUUUUUUACCCAAAGCUAACAUGAUUGCUGCGACUACCAAUGAAGAAAAAGAUGUGUUUUGCUGGCGAAGAAGAUGAUUUUUGAAGCAUGAGUGGCUGCCGUUUAUUUUUUUCCUUCAUAUUUUUCGAUGUAGUGGCUGUCCUCAAGUUUUAUUCAUUUACUUUUCAGUUGGCCUACUAUUUAUUGGCAUAAUGAAAAAUUUUAUUUUAAUAAGCAUUUAUAGAUUAAUUUGAGGAGGUUUCUUUUGCAAUAUUAGUGUGGUUUCUGCAUUGGUAUGAUUUAAAUUACGAACUUGCUACAAUCUUUAAUUAAACUGUCAAAAGUAAUUUAAAAAAUCUUUAAUUAAACCGUCAAAAGUAAUUUAAAAACUGACAGUAGAUAGAUUAGAGAUAGGCUUGACAAUUUAGCCCGACUCUAUUUUUAGUCUGAUUGAUCCGAUCCUAAUUUUUAAGACUUUGGCCUGAAUUUUUUGAUUUCGGGUCGGGUUCGGGUCAAAAUUUUAAGGCCCGAACAAAUUUAGGGUCAGGGUCGGACUUAAAACCAACCCGACCCGACCCUAUUUAAAAAAAAAAAAACUAACACACGCACACAACACAUGACAGUUCACUCUCUCUAAAUCGUAAAUCACACACACAAAAUACACUUACACAAAUUCACAAAAACCCUAAGCCAGCCACCCAGCCUGCUGCCGUCCUAUCAGCCAACAUCGUGACCGUCCGCCGCACGCCAGCCAAUCAGCCGUCGUCUCGUCGUCGCAUGUCUCACCAAUCAGCCAUCGUGACCGUCUGCGACGCUGCGACAUGAACUUGAACCAGCCGCCCUUUGUCGCCGUCCUGCCGCAUCCGCCUGCCAGCCAACGAUCAAUGCACACAGUUGAAUUGUGGGGUGGGAAAUGGUUUCGAUAGGGUCGGGCUCGACCCGACCCUAACUAUAAAGAGGUAGGGCUUUUUUAGGGUCGGGUUUUAAUUUUUUGUUGAUCGGGUCGGGUCGGGUUUGGCCAAACCCGAGCCCGACCCGACGUUUUGCCAUCCCUAAUUAGAGAUGAAGAUUGGAGAGAGAGAAAAAUAUAAUUUGAAUGAGAUAAUAAAGAGAGAAGAAAUUCUAUAAUACAUCAUAAGUAAUAUAACUCAUUGAUGUAUGCAUGAUAUAUGUAAUUAACCUUAAUAUAACUAACACUUGUAUGGUGAUAUUUCAAAAUAAAUAUACAUAUGUUAUAAAAUCAUUUACUUAUUGUAUGACUGACAUUUUAUUUUUGAUGUAUUGUACAAUUUCUCAGAAGAGAGUAGUAUUUAUUAUCUCUAAUUUUUUGAAAUUCUAAAUUUUGGAAGGAUAAUAGAAAGAGAAAUUUUAAAAAUUUUUCAACGUAUAAUGCCAUGUAUCUAAUUAUUAUUAGUCGGUGUUCCACGUUAAAACGUAAUAUAGAACCUCUGGACCUUACUGUAUAAUGUACUGUAGAAUUUCCUGAUCACACACUUUCUCAGUUGCAAAAGAGGUGGGCAUAUGAGUUCCUUACGGGGAUUUAGUGUGAAUCCACGCAAAGCCCAUAUAGAUUUUUCCGGUUAACCGCUAUGGCAUCCUAGUUUUAAACUCAGUACUAAAUUUACAGAUCCAUUUAAACCCCCCAAAUCAGUCUCUCACCGUCUCAAGUCUCAAACAAAAAACCUGACCGGAACCCAAACCGCCAAAUCCGAUUCGAUGGUGGACUGUGCUAAAACCCCUAAAAUUCCAAGACUGACAUGCGGUAAAGGAGAUGGUGAUAGACUUAGCAAUCUUCCGGAGCACAUCAUUUAUCACAUAUUCUCGUUCAUGGAAACAGUUGAUGUUGUUAGAGCAAGCACUGUUUCGCGAAGAUGGAGGUACUUGUGGCUUUCCGUUCCUUAUUUGAACUUCGACUAUCACACAAUUUGGUCAGACCCGGAAAGUAGAUGGUCUCGUAGGAAAAUCAAUGAUAAGUUCAAAGAUUUUGUCAACUGGGUAAUAUUUUCUCAAAAUGGGUCUGUUAAUAUUCAAAGAUUUCGUCUUUGCUGCUGGGAUUAUUUAGCAAGUUACGAUAACGAUAGAACGAUUUACAGAUGGGUUUCUGCUAUGGCACGUCGAAACGUGCAAGUGCUUGAUCUGGCUAUAGCUUCACUAUACCCAUUUGAGUUUGACUUGCCACAUAGUCUUGUAACUUGUGAUUCAUUGGUGGAACUGAAGUUGAGUUUGAGCUUUCAUGUUCACCGAUGUUUUUUAAAGCUGCCUACUGCUGCUGGUUUUAUUGGGCUCAAGUCUCUUGAUUUACAAAGUGUUGCGUUGGAUGAUAAUUUGUUUCCUGAAUUUAUUUCAAAUCUUCCCCUGCUUGAGAAUUUGUGUAUGUUGUCAUGUGUUUUUCCUGAAUUGAAGGUUCUUGACAUUUCUUCCACUAAUUUGAAGAAUUUGGCUCUGGAAUCCAUUGUUGGCAAUGAUAAUGCUGGCAAUGAUGAUGCUGGCAAUGAUGAUGCUGGCAACUACAAGCUUAAGAUUGCUUGUCCAAAUCUUGUGUCUUUUAAUUAUAUAGCUUUAGCUCCAUGGUUACCUCACUUUGCUUUUGAGAGCUUAAACUCCUUGCAAAAUGCAUUCAUUGACCUGGAUGAUUAUAACGAGGAUGACAUGGAGAACGAAAGAUGUCAUGUUUUAUCUACAAUCUUCAAUGACUUUCGUGAAGUUAAAGUUUUGAAAUUAUCAGAAGCCAUUCUUCUCGAGGUAUGAUUUCAAAUACAUUCAUUGCACCAAAUCAUGAUUCUGCCAGAACUUGUCUACACUUUUUUAUUUUGACAUUAGAAAUGAAGCUUAAGUAAACUGAAUCUACUUUCUUUGUUUGGUAAAAUAAGAAUUCUAUUGAUUAUGGAACCUUCCUAAAUGCUAAUUUGUUCUUUAGACUGUGUAUAAGUCAUUGUGACAUUGUAUGAAGUCUCAUUUAUCUGAGUAAUCAAUUGUUAUUGAUGUCAAAGACUAGAACUCAUUGGUGACUUGAGUUUAUGUAUAUUAUCGUUUGUUAGAUUUUUUGUGUGAUUAUUGCACUUAACUUGACUAAUGUAUUCUCUUUCUUUUUGCCAUUGUUCCUCCAGGUUCUUGAUCCUGAUCCUGCUCACGAAGAACCAGCAUUUUUUUCCACUUCAUUCAAUAAUUUGAAGUCCUUAAUACUUUCUGCAGGUCCGGGUGUAUGUCUCAUGCCAUCAAUGCUUAGGUUGCUCAACUGCUCUCCAAAUCUAGAAGCUCUUGCAAUAUAUUCUCCUAAGGUAAUCUUAACACCAAAAACUAUUCCAUUUGUUAGAUACCGUCGCUUCUAUCCAUUUUUUUUAAAAAUCAUAUCUCCCAUUUAUGUGCUAAAAUUUUAAUUUUGUUAAAGUGCAACUGGGCUUUGCUUAAAUUAUCGCAAUAGAGUUGAAACCUGAAAGUAUUUGUGAUAUAUUAUGUUUACCGCUUAGAGCUUAAAGUAAAUGUUAAUCUUGUGGCCUCUUGGUUGUUCCCAUGCUAUUGCUUGUUGAGCAGAUGGUUGAAUUUAGAGUCAAUCAAUCGGUUGUGUUCUUCUGAGGUUUGUGCAAGUUUUGUAAAAGAGCAAAGUUUAGUAUUUGUUUAGUUUGUGAAAAUGAUAUAGCUUUUUCUAAUUCAUCUUACUCUAUUCUUUGCUUAAAAAUGAAUUCUCCUUUUGAUUUGAUUCCUUGACUGCAUUUCGGUCUGUUUUCUCUUGGCAGCAUCGGCGUGGAUAUAAUGCUUAUAGGAAAACACCGAACAAGGCUGCUAUUUCAUGUUUGACAAAUCAUCUCAAGACAGUUGAAAUAAAACAUUUUAGCGGUGAUAUGAAUCAACUUGAAAUUGUGAGGUUUCUUCUAAGGAAUGGACAUGUAUUGCAGAGAAUGAGUAUUAGAUGGGUGGCAGAUGUUAAGAAUCAAGGGAAGAUUAUCUCAAGGAUAAUGAAGUUUCGGAGAUCAUCUUCAAGUGUUGUGCUGAAAUUCCUAGAUCCUAAGCCAGCUGAUGAUUUUUCAGAUUAUUUAUUUGAUGAUGAGCAAAAGAACUAAAAUUAUGUUUAAAUUAAAAAAAAAAAAAGUGGUUUAAGUGUAUGUUCGAAUUAAAUAGUCUUUUGGAUUUGUAGAAACUGAAAGGAGUACAGUGCCAGUCACUGUGGCAGCCUUAUGUUUUGUUUGAAAAAAUUCGGAAGCUUCUAAAUUGUUAUAUACCUCAAUUCUGAAGUCGUUAGUAUGUAUAUUAUAAGCAAUACAUAUGUUCCAUUUGUCAUAUUUUAUUUUGGCAUUACGAUUGUUUUGUCUUGAUUAAUAUUGAUUAUAAUUUGUUUAACAUUUAUCUGGCAUAUGUAGAAUUAUACUUUAUCUGAGUAGAUGACGCUGCUGCGUACAUCUUCAGGACUCGGUCAUAAACUGUUUAUCUCUGCGUCUGUCUAGCAUCCAUCCACGUAUGACCUGUCGGCUUUUUGCCCGCAAGCAUACAGUUAGGGGUGGUAAAAAUAUCUGUCCGGUCUGGAUUCGGUUCGCACCCGGAUGUUUUAUCCGGCCCGGUCUUGGGCAUCAUUUGAUAAAUUCGGAACCCGAGUUUUAUUAAGCGCCUUGGCCGUACAGCAGUAUAUUAUUUUAAAUAUUUAUAUUUAUUUGACUCAUUUAUUACAUAUAUAUAAAGUUUUAGACACUUAAAGUUUAUAUUUUCAUGUCAAAUUUCAUUAAAAUAAAUUUAAAACUUAUAAAAUUACCAAAAAAUAAAAAAUAUAUACAUAUAUAAUAUUAAAAAAUAUAAAAUCUGGGUACCCAAAUUAAAACCCGGCACAAUCCGACCCAGGCAUCUAUGCAUCCGGGUCGGGUCCGGUCAUUACGAUACCCCGACCCAGCCCAGGGUUUUGCCAUCCCUACAUGCAGUGUAUAUGAAUUGCAGUUCUUGUACGGACAACAUGUCAUCCAUAAAACUCGAGUUAUGUUCUUUUUAAUCUUUAGUUUAGAUUACAUUUUGCAAAACUAAUAAACGAUAGAGCUCCUAGCAAGGUCAAUAGUUAACUGCGAAUCCAGAAGAUCGGAAUGCUAUACCUUUCAAACAUGCAUUUCAAAGCCAUCUGCGGAAAUGGAAAACAAGCAUUUCAAACUCGUUGUUAAAACAAUGAUAAAAGUAAUUUUAAUCCUAAUUUUUAAUUCCAGGCAUGAAGCUAACUCAUAUACAAAGAGAUAUCAAGUAAGCAGAGGCGAAAGCUAAAAGCUUUGGUUACAGGGGUCGGUGUGAAUAAUGUAUAUAUCGUUUAGACAUAUUUUUGAAUAUCUAUUUUAAUUUAGGGGAUAUUAUAUAUAUUUAAAAAAAAUUAAAAUUUUUACGGGAGCCAUGGCUUACUAUAGUCUCCAUUAAGAUUCACCCUCCCUACUUUUCGUACUUCAUUAAAGUAUAGGAUAAAUAUUUACAAUAUUAUAAAUAGAUUUUAUAAAAGCAGUCCAUAUAUGAAAGUCCUUCUGCACUCUGAAUUAAAUAAAAAUAACGUGAGACUAACAAUUUAAGAGUCUUUUUUGCAACGUAUAUCGUGCAGUGAUGUACUCUAUCGACGGAGGACUCUCUUCAUAUGCUUUUUAUUUUUCCAUGCCUGAUUAUAAAUAGGAUCACUCUAUGUUACAUUAAACGUAACGUACACACACUCACAACAACAGUAACAAGUCCCAUCAUUAGAACUGUUGCUGUGAGUGCGUGUAUGUUACGUUUAACGUAACAUAUCACUAGCCUUAUAAAUAACAUCACUUUUAAGGAUUUUUACAAAUUUUUAUUACAACCGUAACUUUUGUCCUCAUACAAUAACGGUGUCCAUUGUCCACAUAUAAAAAGUUCAUCAAUAAACAUAUAACCUAAUUAAAAUUCGUGACAAAAUCCAAAGGAAAGAAAGCGUGGAGUAAUAUAUAUAACAAAGGCAUUGAGCAUACACCAGGUGUAAUUUGCAUUGCAUGGCCACCCUUACGUGGCAGUUCCGCCGAUUAACACAUCUUUAAAAGUUAAAGCCCCCCUCUCUCCUUGUUAAGGGCGUUUCAACACAACACUCAUCAAUGCAAGCAAAGAGACAGUGAAGGAAAAAUUAAGAAACCAAUAUUGUCACUUGGAAGAAAGAAACAAUCAUUACAUAUAUAAUACGAUGGAUACUAAGAACAACAGGAAGCAUUUGUCCUGCAUUGCCAACGACGUCGUUCACAGAUGUGCACUGUACGUAUCUCUCUCUCUCUCUCUCUCUCCUUUUCUUUUUCUCCCCGAUCACUUUGUUUUCUUUAUAUAUACGAAUGUAUGUAGAACGUAGUAGGUUUUGUAUAAAUAUCUGUUGCACACAUUAUUUGAUGUGCAUUUAAAUAUAAUUAAUGGUAAUUGAGAUGACACACAAAGACAAUGCAAAAAAAGAAAAAAAAAGAGAGAGUAAAUUAAUGAAUUUGCCUUGAUCCAGUUAAUUUGUGUGCAUUUAGCUGACUGUAAGGUGGUUUCGAGUGUGUUUUUGUUUGGCAACUUUUCACACAAAAGCACUUUUGGGAAGCACUUUAUGUAAUGUAAGUGCCUCUAAAAACUGUUUUAUGUAUUACUGCCAAAUGCAGUGCAGAGGUUACAAUGGGAGGGUCGGUUUUAUACCUGUUCUUCGAGACUUAAUUUCAAUAGGAGAUUGAAAUAUUUAUGAGAAUUAUGUUGUUAGCAGACUUAAUUCUUUUGGAGGAAUUCAUUCCAUCGUAGACCACUCAAUGAAUUUGGUCGAUUGAGAUUAUUUGAGUGCAUGCUUCAAAACUGGAGCAUUAAUUCUUUGACAUAAAUGGGCUUUAACAUAAGGCGCGUUCGCUUAUUCCAUUUAUUCAAGAAGUUGGCACUCAAUUUUUUAUUACUAGCCUUUAGAUGGCCAGCAGCCUUUUGUAGCCCUUUCUAGUUUCUACUAAAGUGGUUAUGUGCAAUAGUUCUAUUCUGGGUUGCAAAAUUAUUGUGUCAGUAGAAUCCACAUACAUUAUGUACUUUUCUGUAUUUAAUUUCAAGAGGCUUAGUUAUAUCAUAGUUUUAGGAUUAUAAUAAGUCUGUCCGUUACCAUGUUAUUGGAAUUUUUUUUUUUUUCUAAAUUAGUUGGACACAUUAUUGGAUUGGUCAAUAAAGGAAAGCAUUUGGCAAGUACUUGGUUUGAUAUUAACAUAUAGUUGCAGUAAAGCACAUUAACUUGUGCAUCCUGAAAUUCUUGCAGGCAAGUAAAGGCUUCUGAGGAUUCAUUGGUGGAGGGGUUUGAAGCUGAAUGGAAGCCUGAAAUCGGACAGUAUUCGAAGAAAUUUGUGGAAUAUUGCAGCAUAAAGGCUCUUACUAACAUGUGCCAGAGCAUAGAAGAAAAGAUUAGUGAUGGAUCAUUUAGUCGACUCACAUUUGAUAUGAUGCUUGCCUGGGAAAUGCCUAGUGCCGCCGAUGAGGAGUCUCAUACUGUAAGCAAUCAUCAUAAUACUCAUAUCCUAUAUUUAUUUCAUGGUCCACCAAAUCAUUAUGAUAUUAUCCCAAUUUUGGUGUGCCUAUCUUCUCUUCAAGUUGCUUCUUCUAUUUCUUUUUCAUUAUACAUUCUCUGGUUCUCAUCAGUUUUCGCUCCAAUUAAAAGAAGCAUGAAUUCUUUCACUUAUCUGCUGAAUCUGUUCUAAUGAUUGGGCAAUAGAUUUUUAUUCCUCUCUGUGGUUACUACUAUUUUGAUCUUGUGCAGGAGUGCAUGGGAAAGGAGAAUGAGGAUAGAAAGGCUGUAAAAGUCACUUCAGAUCAUGAUGAAAUUCCUCUCUUCUAUACAGACAUCAUGCCUCUUCUAGUAAGAGCGUCUCUUUCUGAUCAUUUGAGUGCUAAUGUACCGACCAAGCAUUAGCCUUCACUGAAACUCGUAUAUGAUUUCAUGAACAUUGAUUAAUUGUUAUUUUUGCUAACUACUCUAUGAGAUCUGAUCAAAUUAGAUAUAUAAAUGUUGCGAUUGAUCUUGGAUUUGCUUUAUAUUUGGCCAUCAAUUAUAUUUUACUCUUCAUUUUUAUAUUUGUUUGGUUUGAUAAUUUACCCUCUGGCCCAUAUAUAUGAUGGUAGGUUAAUAAUGAACCGAGUGUUGGAGAAGAUGCAUUUGUAUGGAUGGGAUCCUUAGUUCCUCUAGUUUCAGAUGUUAUUAAUGGGAGAUUUACAUAUGAAAUUCUGACAGCGCCAACAGGAAACCGGCUCCAUUCUCCAGCAUAUGAUAUAUUUCUAAAGGAGAUGGACAAGUAAUUCUUCCAAUUCUUCCAUGCAGCAAUUUUACCACUCAGAAACUUUAAGUGCCGUUUGGUUUUGUGACAUGCAAAUUAUCAUGGAACACUCAAAAUGAGUUGUUCUUAACAAUUUCUAGAAUUUGCAAACUCACUAACCAUAUCUGAAAAUGCAGAAGCAUUAUUACCACUUAUUGAUAACAAUAUCUCUGCUCGACUUGUUUGGGUGCUUUCAGCCGUUUUUCAUUUUCUUUUGGAAAUCUUGAUUUCAUAGAUGCAUAAAACAUUUGCAAAAACAAGCAACUCCAAAGGGUGUUGAGCUGGCUGACGAUGAAUUUAUACUGCAUGUGGAGGGAACUGCAAGCACACAGAGAGUAGUGCGCCAUAUUGGGAAAACAAGUUGGCCUGGUAUGUCUUUAGUUUGAUGUCUUACAUCUUUUUAACUGCUGUAGAAAUUGUUACUUGGAUUUUACUAAUCAUAAUUGUUGUCUCUAGGUAGGCUCACACUGACAAAUUAUGCGCUCUACUUCGAGGCUUCGGGAGUAAUAACAUAUGAAGAUGCUCUAAAGAUUGACCUCUCAAAAGAUGCUGAACUAUCUGUUAAACCAACUGCCACAGGUCCAUGGGGUGCUCCGCUUUUUGACAAGGCAAUUGUAGUCGAGUCCCCUGAACAGUAAGCAUAGUUGCACUUAUAUGAAAUUACUGGAGCUAUUAGCAUCGUUAUUCUUAUUUUAAAAAUUGUUAAAUGCUUGGUAGUUAUCCCAUAAGCUAGAUUUUAAAUGCAUAACAUACAAGGCAGACAUCAGAAAGCAUUCUGAUUCGUUUAUUAAAGUUUGUCUUUUAUUAAGCUAAAGAUAUUAAUGCUGCUAGAUUUUUCUAAUUUGGUUGUAGAUAUUGGUUAGUUACACUGUCAAAUGAGCAAAUCUCGUGGAUAUUUCAUAGUGUGGUUAUGCAAUUGUUUUUUGCCCUUCACUUUUCUAGAUCUGAGGGAAUUGUCCUGGAGUUUCCAGAGAUAACUAGCUCGACAAGGCGUGAUCAUUGGCUGGCCCUCACAAAGGAGAUAAUGUUAAUGCACAAAUUCCUGUCAAAAUUCAAGGUGGAAUGUCCAAUACAAGCAUGGGAGAUGAAUGCAAGGACAAUACUUUGCAUCAUAAGACUCCAUGCAGCAAGAGAAAUGCUGAGGAUAUUGCCUCCAGAUCCCACAAAAUUCUUGAUUUUUGCUUUGUAUGAUGAGUUGCCAAAGGGAGACUACGUGCUAGAAGAGCUUGCUGAGAGUCUGAAGAAAGUUAAUUGUGGACAUCCUUCCAGUGCUAGCUCAAUUCUGAGAUGUAUGAACCUGUCAAUUGCCGCAAGUGGAGAAGUAAAAGAAGGAAAAGAACUGGAGGAACAUAAACAUAUAAGUGAUGAAAGCUGUUCAUCACUGGAAACUGCCAUCAAUCAAUCUAAAGAGCAAGCAAAGGCAAUUGAAAUUGCUAAGUCUACCACUGAGGGCCUGAAAGAUGAAGGGAUCAGUGAUAGUAUCCUUGUUCUCUUGGUAUGUUUUUACUUCCAAAUUGUUGUUUAUGCUGCUGAUUUUAUAUUGACAGAAUAAGUAAUGACAUCUCAACAAAUCAUGGUAUUGAGAGCUUGUUUGACAUUUAUCAAACACAGCAAAGAAAUUGAAUUUUAUGAAAUUCCUAUAGCACCCUAUAAUUUGUACCAAAAAAUCUCUGCACCUUUGGCAUGCUGUAUGGUAUGGAAGUAUAGCUGUCUCAGAGAGGUUACUGUUAUUUACUUUAUUUGGUUUUGUAGUAUUGAUGUUAAGUUUGAUUUAAUAAUGUAGGAGCUACUAAAGCCACUUAAAAGUGUUUUACCCUGGAUUCGAGAAGUUGUUUCAUGGGAAAAACCAGCAACCACCCUCACUGUGAUUGCAACAACUCUACUAAUAGUGUACAAGUAAGUCAGUGCUCCCUCGUAAUUUUCUUAUAUACGGAAAUUUUUUUGAAAGUGCAUGUUGAUCAAGAACCACUUCAUUACUUGGCCUAUUAAUGUGUAAACUUUGCAAAUGACUAGUAAACUAUAUAAUGGCAAUGUAGGGAGUGGGUAGGCCAGGCUAUAGCUGCUUGUUUGCUCACCAUCGUGGUGAAGAUGCUUCAGGCAAGAAAAAAAAGGUUGACAGACAAAUGCAAUGAGAUAGUAGUAUGCACUGCUUCAGAUCAGAGCACCGUGGAGAGCAUUGUGUCGGCUCAAUACAGUUUGAUAACUAUUCAUGAGAUGUUGCAGGCAGCAAACAUUAUGAUUUUGAAGAUAUGGUCGAUAUUAAUUUCAAAGGCCCGCAAGGUACUCAUUUUGAUAACCUAUGCUUUCAGCUUAGCAAUUAAAUAUCGUUUUCAAUCAAUAUUGCUUAUUCGUCGUUAGCUGAAGUUCGUUUACCUACUACAUUUGUUGGAUGUCUUCAAUUAUUGAGGAGUCUUAGUUGCAUUUCCAAAUUGUUCUAAAUCCUCGUUUCAUUUAAUGGGUUGCAGCAUGCGGACACGGUUAUGGUGGCAUUGACUGGGUUAGCAAUAGUAUUAGCAGUUGUUCCAUUCAAGUAUAUUGUCAUGGGAGGUGUGCUGUACGGCUUCAUUAUGAACUCGAAGCCAAUGAAGUACCUGGGAAACAACUCAAACGACCAAAGCGGCAACAGACGUCUAAAAGAAUGGUGGGAGUCAAUCCCUAUUAUUCCUGUUCGCGUCGUGGACAAGCUUCCUGAGUGCCCAAAAUAAUGUGUCGGCUCCUGCACAAUCACAGUUGCCUAAAUCCUCUGUUUCUGAACUUUUGUUAUCAACUUACUGCACGAUAUACACUUCUGAGUUUGCUUUUGCCAUCAGAGUAGAACUGUAUCUGAAACACAGCAUACACUUAAAUGCUCAUUACAAAUUUGGAGAAAAGCACAAGUAGAAAAGGAUUGAAGACAUUCAGUAACGUUGAAAUUCUGCAUUUUCUUUAAUUUUUGUUAUGAACAAGUUUCUUAAUUAUUUGUUCUCUUGAUGUAAAAUAGCAUAUUGCUGGGAGUAAUGAAGAUGUGACUGUGCUUUUCCUAUUAGCAUGUUAAUAAAAGCAAAAUGGAAAAUUAUUAGUUACGUCCUCUCGUUUUGCGGCUUAUUGAGCUAACAAGUAACUUCUUCAUUACUAGCGUGCAAGUUUGCAACUAGUGAAUCUCAAAUAUAACUCUACCCAAUGGAUGGAUGUACGAUGGAUGUACCUACCCAAUCAUUUAUUUCUCAUUAAAUCUGUUAAAACAGAAAAAGUCCCGACGUCAUAUUCUUCGCGCCUUUUAAAAAACGACACGUGUCGUAUCCCACUACUCGCGUGCUGGAAACUUUAACCCACUCUGACUGCGUGACAGCAGAUCAUUCCCAAUUCAUUUCAGUUUCACUGUCACUUUCACUCCUCCUCAGGCGCCUUCCGACAAACAGGAAGAAUGCAAACUUGAAAACCCCCAAAAACCCUAACGUUCCCCCGGAGACCCUAACCCACCAUAAACCCUGGCUCUUAAUCCUAGCCACUAUGAGCGACCAAGACGAGCAAUCGCGAGCUCAGAAAGCCGCCCAGUUAACAAGUCCGCUCUCAUCCUCUCUCUCGAACCUUUCUUCUUCUUCAAGAAGCAUCCCCUCUAAUCAAGAUUUCCAUUUCUUCUACAAUUUCCCUGAAUUCAAUCAACCCGUCCAAGAAAUCGCGAACCAAUCGCAGCUCCUCCUACAAUCCAUCGGCUCAUCGGAGAUUUUUAACCAACCGAUCAAUUUUCCUGAUGAGGUUGACAUCUCGGACGCCUACGACUGGCUUGUCGACGUAAACGACAACGUUUUCGAGCGUAUGGAUGUUUCUUUCGACGAAUUUAGUAAAGUAAGAGGGGAAAAUGGGGAAGGAGAUGGAAAUGAAGGUGGCUUUCAGUUGGUUUAUGGGAAGAACAAGAAGAAGGGCGACAUUGUGGGUGGCUCUGCCCCGGCCAGUGUGAAAGUGAAGGACAGGAAAGAGAAAAGCAAGGUGCCGUUUCAUAUAUCGACUAUAACAAAACCGCAAGAGGAGUACAAGAUAGUUGUGAACAAUGCGAACCAGCCGUUUCAGCAUGUUUGGUUGCAGAAGAUUGAGGACAGUGGACGGUUUAUCCAUCCUCUUGUAAGUUUGUUAUUUUUUGAAUAUUUUGAUAUUGGAUUUGACUUACUGGGUUUGUUAAAUUUGUAAUCUGAAAAUAGUACCUUUCUUAGGGACUUUUUAGUGAUCAAUUAUUUCUUUCAUUUUCUUUUUGGGUGGUUUGUGGUAUAUGUUUACGCUUAUCUUGUUUGGAAUUUGUGUGCAAUUCUUAUUAUUCAUGCGAGAAUUUUAACACUAUCAUGUGGUUCAUGCUUGCCAAAAAUAUACCAAAACACUUUUGCUUAUUGCUAUUGCUUUAUUUGUACAGGACAAUCUUUCUGUUUUGGAUUUUGUUGAUAAAGAUAUAGGGGAUGUGGAACCUGUAAAACCUCCCUCGUUGGAGCAGACACCAUUCAAGCUUGUGGAAGAAGUUAAAGAUUUAAAGGAGCUAGCUGCUAAAUUGAAGAGCGUAGAUGAGUUUGCGGUAAAGUCUGACUUCUGUGAUUAUGUUUUAUUGAUAAAUAAUGCCGUGGUUCAGCCUUACUGCAGUAGUUUCUUUUUUUCAGCCUUUUGAUUUCUCUUUUCUGAUGGGGCAUUUCAUAUACAGAACUGAACACUGUCCUAUGUAGAGGAUAUAGUGUAGUUAAGGCACAUGUCACCGAUGUCAGCUACUUCAAAAUUAUAUAGUGCUGGAUGUGGUUUAAGCCAAUAAGACAAGAAAGGGGUGUGGCCGCCUAUGAAGAUACAUACAAAUAUGUUAAUAUUCGAAACAUAUACAAAGAAAUGUGCCUGUAAUAGUUUUCCUGUCUACGUAAAGUAGUAAACCAGCUGUCUAUUUAAUCUUGAUACAAGUUUUGCAUGUUUAAAAAAUUAUCUUUCAUCUUUAACAGUGAGUCCAUUUUUAGCUGUAAUCCUUUUCUCAAGCAUGACUUGGUUUUGCUUUCGUUUUCAUCUCAACAGUAAACCUGUUUGCAACUAGAAAACAUUGUAAUUUUUUUGUAACUUUUCUCUAGGUCGACUUGGAACAUAAUCAAUAUCGAUCUUUCCUAGGAUUGACUUGCCUGAUGCAAAUUUCCACCAGAACCGAAGAUUUUGUGGUAGAUACGUUAAAGCUUCGCGUUCAAGUUGGGCCAUAUCUUAGGGAAGUUUUUAAAGAUCCUACCAAGAAAAAGGUUGGUCCCUUCAACAUGCUCUCGCGUAGCUUUGUGAUAAAUCUUAUUUUUUCCCCCCCAAAUUAUGUUAACUUUUACUUUACUAGGUGAUGCAUGGAGCAGAUCGAGAUAUUGUGUGGCUUCAACGGGACUUUGGCAUAUAUUUGUGCAAUAUGUUUGACACAGGACAGGUUUUAUCCCUUGAAACUCUCUUUGAAAUUUGAGACUUUAUUGAUGAUCUUGUCUGGUUUUUUGUACAAUGGUUAAAUUUAUCUUAUCUUAUCUGCUUUUUUGUGGUCUAAUUUAUGAGUGUUGAUGCAAGCCUUUAUUCUACUAAAUUAGUUAAAUUGAGUUAUCUUUUGAUACUGUAUUUUCAAUUUUGUAAUUCAUCUUAUGUGUUUGAGUCAAGGUUUGGCUUCAAAAAGCCUUGUCAGUUACAUGUCAUCUCUCCCUUAAUUUUUUCAAAGUAGCUUCGCUUGUCAUUUGAACUAUUUGUAUCAUUAUUUUCAAUUUUGAUGUGGAACUUCCCCCAUUUAUUAAUGUUCUUUUGGUUGUUUUUGUGUAAUGCUCUUUUGUAAAUUUUACCGUGGCAUUUAUUUUGUUUUGCAUUUCAAAUAAUAGUGAGAAUUGCUUUUUUCAGUCCUAAGUUUAUUGGUUUAUUGUAAAUAUACUGUAUAUUUAUUUUGGUUUGCAUUGGGAGAUGAUCGUGGGAAUUUGUUUCUGUCUUUUCAUAAGGCCUCAAGAGUCUUGAAAUUGGAGAGAAAUAGUUUGGAGUAUCUUCUACAUCACUUUUGUGGAGUUAAUGCCAACAAAGAGUGAGUCCUUUUGUAAAGUACCUGAUCUGUUUCUCCUUAUAGUUUCCGCCCUUCAUCAUCCUAAGUCAACUCAUUGCAGAUACCAGAACGCAGAUUGGAGAGUACGUCCUCUUCCCGACGAGAUGCUGAGGUACCUUUGGUUCUCUUUUUAUCUUCUUUGUAACCUACUUUUCUAAUGAGUUCUCCAAAAAAAAAAAAAUUAUGAUCUGUUUGGCAUGAAAAUAAUUACUACUAUUUUAAAGUUCUUGUAUUCUUUGGAAAAGCAGAAAUCAUAUAUCAUCAUUUAAGUGUUUGGGGUUUCAUCUUUGCCUGUAUUUUUGUAGAAACUAAUAAUAUUUUUUUUUCUGUGGCUUAGGAUUUGAAUUGUGGGAAUAUCUAUGUUGGAAAUUAAUAAUGAGUGCACAUUGACUCUUGAUAGUGGACAAAUAUUUGGACAGCCAGGAAGGGGAAGGCCAACAAAAGUUUUGGGUUUUUAUAAGUUGAAGUUAUGAAUGGUUUUAUAAUUAAUUAGGUAUAGGUUUCCUCAUUUGGGUAUUUCUGGGAGAUCUGGGUUAUAAGAUUGAGAUAUUCCAGCCUGUAUAGAUAAUUGUAGGGUUGCCUGUGUUUGUGAUAUUCCAGCGCGUUUAUUAUUACUACUUCUUAUAUAUAUAAAAUUUUAGACUCUUUCCAUGUCUAACAAGAAGUUUUCAUGAUAUCACUUGGAUCCUACUCAUGCAGACUUGUAAGGCAUCCUUAGGUGCGGUUAUGUGAUCUGGUUUUUAUAAAUAUUUUUAAAUUUUUUGUCAGAGACAAUGCCUGUAGUGACAAUGUACUGACUUAUCUUUUGGUUAUUACCAAGCUGAAUCAGGUUGCCUGUGGUUUAUGACCAUACCAUUUGGUCUUAUAAAAUGUUCUUCCCUUCACCUCAUGUUCUCAUACUUUAAAGCAUGAAUAAUAUCUAAGGGCCUGAGAUUAUUUCAUUAAUUUUUCCCAAGUCUAGAUCCUUCCCAGAGAAAUGGAUGGAUUACCCACACACUCACCAGUAACAUGUCGUACUUUAUGACGGUUUUGCAUUACUGCUGUAUGUCAUUUAAUUUGCCCUUUUGAGGAUUCUUUAUUUUCUCUGGGCUGAUGUUACUUUGUGGUGCUUUUUUUUCCUAUUUAGUCAAAAUAUAUAUUCAUCAUAGAGUUUCUCUGUUAGAAUUUUCUUAGCUUUGAGGAUUCGUUAGUGGCAUAUCAUCCAAUUGAUUAUACUUGUGAUGACAGAUACGCUAGAGAAGAUACACACUAUCUGUUGUAUAUAUAUGAUAUAAUGAAAAUCAAGUUGUCCUCAAUGCCCAAGGAGUCUGAGAAUUCUGAUACUCCCCUGACAGAGGUAUGAUUUUUGCUUAACUGUUGGUGUUGUUUUGUAAAACUGUUGGGCAUCUCUAUGAUUAUAGAGAAUCCAUUUUUAAAUGCUUUUUUCAGAUCUUGUUGUGCCAUGUAUGACAGACCAUUGCGUCUGGAGAUUGGCAUGGAGCUUAAUAAUUACAAUGUUAAAAAUAGAACAUAAAAUAUUGGGAAGUAUCUAUCAUGACUAAUUCUUCAACUGUUUAAGGAAGAUAGUUUAAAUCCGAAUAUCCUUUUUUGGAUUGUGGACUAAAGAAAAUUGUCAACUCUUGAUUUCUCUUCCCAAGGAUGAAGACGUAUCAGUCUGUUGGCAAACACAUUUUUUGAAUUUUACUUUAGUUAUCUAUAAUUUUACCAUAUUGAGCAAACAUUUUGUUGCAAACAGGUCUACAAGCGCAGUUAUGACGUAUGCAGGCAGCUGUAUGAGAAGGAGCUUCUGUCAGAAAAUUCUUAUCUCCACAUUUAUGGGUUUGUCUUUGUCCCUAUUCAUCUCAGUUUAAGUUUUCAUUUAGUGGCCUCGCCUGUUUAAAAUCUUCUCUCAUACAGUUUUUGUUUGUUUCAUUCUUUACUUAGCAUUACUUCUCUUGUUUAAUUUUAGUUCUAUUUUGGACUUCGUAUUUAUGUGAUUUGACAGAACUUAAUCAGUGGAGCUUAUUUCUCUAUGUUGAAAUAGGUUGCAGGGGGCUGGUCUCAAUGCUCAGCAGCUUGCUGUUGUUGCGGUAUGUCAGUUCUUCAUGUGUUUUUCAAACUUUGCCACUUUUCUAUCUGGAUAUUAUAUGCAUGAGGAUGCUACUGAAAAUGUAUUAUCCGCAUGUUUUGUUUACUAGUUGCAUCUUCAAAUGAAACAAAGUCUUGACCCAGAAGAAUCCGUAACGCACCAAUAGUCACUAAUAGGAUUGUCUUGAGAAAUUUACUUCUAAAUUUUUGAGUGGAUGAUAGAAGGGUGGAUUUUAAGUAGCUGACACAUCAUUGCCAACUGCUGAUAGAGUCUGUUGCAUACUUGAGUAUUCUUGCUAGUUCUGGCCCCAUUGAUCCCACUUCAAUGAUUUGCAGGGUCUUUGUGAAUGGCGAGAUGUUAUUGCUCGUGCAGAUGAUGAAAGUACUGGCUAUGUAUUGCCAAACAGAACUCUGAUUGAAAUUGGUAGAAACCUGUCUGAAUUUCCUCCAACUCUCUCUUCUAUAUGUAUAUAAUCCAUUUGGUGAGUUAUGAGUUAAUCAUAUUUUCCUUUUGUGGUAAAAGCCAAACAGUUGCCUACUACUGCUGCCAAGUUACGUCGAUUGUUGAAAUCAAAGCACUCAUAUAUUGAACGCUAUAUGGGUCCGGUACUUAGCAUCAUAAAAAAUUCUAUGCAAAAUGCUGCUAAUUUUGAAGUCAUUGCUCAAAAAUUGAAAGAGGAACGUAUGGAAGUGGUAAGACCUGCAUGCUCAUGUUUGAUUGUUUUGUUAUAUCAGUGAUCCAAAUUGAUUAUUUUUCUUUGAGAAUUUGAUGUUAAUGCCUUCAAUGGAUUGCCAACAUACAUUGAUUUUCUUUUUCUUUUCCUUGGAUUUCGUUAGAAUCAGACCAACCAUCUUUUAAACGAGGAUGAUGGUCCAAAACCUUAAGGUCUACUACGAUGAAUUGCUACUUUUUGUGCAAGUUCUUGUAAUUCACUCAGCUGGUUGUCUUCGGCAAAUGAAAGGAAAAAGGAAAUUCAUCCAAUCCAGUUCUAUUGAAGAAAAAGAAUCCUAGUUGAUCUUACAAAAUUAAGCUUUCAUAAUUUGUUAACCCAUGGAAUGUGAUUAAAACUCAUGGACAAAGGAUGUUCCAGUUGAGAAAGGGAUUUGAGUGAUUUUUAGCAAUUAUCAGUGAUGUCUUCAUUAGAAGUAAGUUUAUGGUUUAUAGCAGUAAAUGCUCAAUAAUUAGGUACUCCUUGUAUAUUGGCUGACCGGGUCCCAUGUUUGUAGUAGGUUUUGUGAGCUACAGAGGAUUAACUUCAGUCAGUUUUCCAUGUUAUGGCUGUUAAGAGCUAUGUCACCAUUUUUCUUUGUUUACAUCAAACUAAUCUUUUUUUUUCCCCCCAUUUUUCCUUAUUUGUGUAGGCAUCAGAAGAAACUGAAGUUUUAGUUCUUGAUACUUCCUCAAACUUGAAAAUUCCGAAUGUUGGAAGGGAGAGUGUUGAUGGUGUUGAUGCAUUAGUUGGUACCACGAUGCCUCACCCACCAGCUUACACCCAGCUGAAACAAGAGCCUCCAAAGGUUGGAAGCAGUGUCGCAGAACUUGACAGAAAUGGACUAGGGUCUUUUGCGCAUCCUGGAGAAGCAAUUGCUUCAGAAAAUAAAGAAGCUACUCAUAUUUCAACACUUUCCAGCUCUGGUCAAAGUAGAGACUUGAAUGCUUGCAAGUCACCUUCACCAAGGGUUGUGAAUUUGAUGCCUUAAUGUGGAUUUUUUUUUUUUUUGGUUAAGAGGUUUAGCAUUCAAUUUCUUUUUCUUUGGUUGUGAAUUUGAUGCCUUAAUGUGGAUUGGAUUUUUUUUUUUUUUGGUUAAGAGGUUUAGCAUUCAAUUUCUUUUUCUUUAUAGGUUACUGAAGCUGCUGUUCAGGCUCUAAAGAAGCCGAACCGUGGUUUUGGAGCACUGCUGGGUAACCCAAAGAGAAAGUUUGAUGGCGAGAAAAAGGUGAGUUAAUCAUUUGCUAGUAAUGGUUGUUAAACAUCUGCUAUGUCAUUGUCACAUAGCAAAAUAACUAUUUCUGAGGCCUGCCAGUCACCCAGUUUGUGCAUGUGUGGUUGGGAAGAAGGCAACAAAGGAAGAAUAUAGUUAAACAUUUGCUAUGUUAUUCUUACAUAGCAAAAUAACUACUACUGAGGCCUGCCAGUCAGCCAGUCUCUGCAUGUUGGUUGCAAAGAAGGCAACAAAAGAAGAAUGUUUUUUUUUUUUGAAUCUUCAUUCCAUGAUUCACUUUCUUUUCAAUUUUUCUUGUCAACUAGCAUGUACAUUUGCCUUCUUGUUGCCUUUUUCGUUGCGUGAGUCAUUAUGAAUUAUGAUUUAUAUUAUACGGAAAUUGUGAGUGGGCAACUGUUGGGCUAUAAUCAAACAUGCAAAAUUUCGGGUCCCAUGACUAAGCGCUGCUAUCAUCUGGAUUUGUGUGUUGUUGCAUUUUAUAUUUGGUUAACACCCUUCUUAUUAUCCUCCUUUUGAUUGUUUGUUUGUCUUAAUUAGGACAAGGAAGCUAUGAAACUAGAGCAGAUUAAAUCCUCAGUCAAUCUUCCAUUCCACUCAAUUUUUGCAAGAGAUGAACAGUUAAAACCAGUUGAUGUGAUGAAGUCUGAACCAAAUAAGCCUGACAUUCCAUUUCCUUCAUCUUUUGGUAGUGGGCAACAAACGAAACCAAUCAUAGAGGAAUCCAAUAGAGUUACAGUAGUUUCCCAAUCAGAAGAACCCGCUCCGGCUGCUAGGUCUGAUACAGAAGAUAUUAUUACGUUGGAAGAUGAUAUAGAUGAAGAGGAACAAAACCUUGGUAAUUUGGAAACUGCAAGUGCGCCCGGAGAGGACGGUUCUGCAGGGUCUGCUUUGGAAAUGGGUAAACAAGAUGAGACCAUGUCUCUCUCUGAUUUAUCAACUAGUUUCCAGGAGUGCUUCCACUCUGCUAACAACAAUAGAAAACCUGGAAAGCCUGAGAGAUCUGAAGAACCUAGUGGUUUUUUGCAGCUUAAGCCGUUUGACUUCGAAGCAGCUAGGAAACAGAUCGAGUUUGGAGAAGAUGCCAAAGAAAAAUCAGCUGGGGUUGAUGGAAACAAAAGAAAACCAGUGAACUCUGGAGAUAAGAAAAAAGUUUCAGCUGUAGAUCAAGCUCAAAAAGAUGAUGGAACAAAAGAACUGUCACAAGGUAGACGACGUUCUGCUUUUCCUGCAACUGGAAAUCGAAGUGCAACAUUUCGCUGAGUCUCUGGUAUCAAUCAUGCUGCUCUGUGUAGCAGAAAUUAGUUGAAUUUUGGAUUUUCACAAUCAUGUUCUUGAUUUAAAUGGAAAUUAAUGCUGGUGGACAAAUUCGCAAUGGUUGUACGUAUAUUUCCAUUGCUUGAGGUCUUGUCUGAUACAGCAUGAGCUAACCUGAUCAUCUUUUGAUAUUCAGUAACAGGAGAGAUGUAUGGUCUGCAGGAGCCAAUGAUGGGCAAGUGAUACCUGAGGCCGGUGUCUAUUUGAAGGUAAAAUGGGCGAUGGUUCUAGGUUUCAUAUUAGGUUUUUGAUAGUCUUGAGUAAUUGCCCUACUAUCUUCAUAUUUAAAAAACAGGAUGGUUUCAAACCAAAGUGCGGUUUGUAAUCAAAAGCAUUUGAUCUUUUUGUUUUUGUAACUUUACGGGUUUUAUUUUUAGAAAAAUGGUUCUGUACUAUGGUUUAUUUCUGCCUUAUUUGAUAUUGUGGUCAUCUUAGGCUUUAUUUAGUGUAAUUUUUCAGUUAUAUGUUCGUUUGGGAAGAGGAAAUGAAGUUAAUUUUAUUUCACACUUGCAUAAGAAAAAAUUGUAAUGUUUAUAUUAUUUUUGUUAAAAUUAUUAUUUAAAAAUUAUAUUUGAUAUCUAUUAAUAAUUUUUAUUAUAAUUAUAAUUUUCUUUUUCCUCCAUCAUCUCAAUUGCUUAUAACUGCUGUUGAGGAUGGUUGGUGCGAUGUUAAUAAUUUGUAAAGGGCUUAGUAACAUCUGGUUCCGUGAUGUCGGCCAAACCAUAUCGAAGGGCUUAAUUUGACGGUCAUCGGGGCCUCCUGCCCAGCUGCCCUCCUUUACGGAUUCCGCUUCCGCAAAUUAUUUUAUAUAAACUGUUGUUACAUGAUAGUGGUGGCCGGAUGAAAAUACUACAUGACCAUAUAAUGCUUUCGGUGCAAUGAGUGAAAAAGAGAAAUUUUUAUGUAUUCUCGGAUUGAAGGAGAAAUUUUAAGAUUAAGAUUGUGGAGUGGUAGCAGGAGUAAAUUAUUUACUUACAUCACUAUGAGAGUGUGGAACGAAAAUUAGAAAUUAUGUAUUUUCUUUGUCUUAGAUUGAGAGUGAAUCAUUUUAAAUUAUAAUUUUAUCCUUAUUUAAAGAAUUGUAGUUUUUAAUUAUAAAGUAAAUAAAAAAAUAUAUUUGCACAAUAAAUUAUUUAUUUUGUUAUUAAUUUUAAUUAUAUAAAUUAAUAAUAAUUAUUAUUAUUCUUAAUCAUGUGAAUCAUGAUUUUUUUGUUAAUUUUNNNNNCGUACAGCAGAAAUAAAUAUGAUAUUUUUAUUUUUAAAUAAAUGUGAUAUUAUUUUUAUUUUUAUCAAUAUAAUUAUAUUAUAUUCAAUAAGGAAAUGAUAAAAAGAAAGAAGUGGGAGUAGAUUUCUACUUUUUAUUCAAAAACAAAAAUGAGACCCACAGAGUAGAAGCCUAACUCUCCUCCUUAGAUGAGUACUAAAACGUUUAAGUAGGAGAAAUUCAUAUUUUUGACUCCCACUCUACAAAGUAAACAUAAUAAUAAUAUCAUAAUAACAUUUGAUAAUUCUAUAUAUUUGUGACGUCAUAUCUCAUCAAUUGAUUAAUAAAAUUAAAUGGUGAUUAUUUAUGAAAGAACAAAAUUAAUUCAUGUGAGUUAUGGUUAAUAAAUAAAUAAAAUAUAAAAUGUUAAAUUUUGACUAUAAACUAAUUUCAAUAUCUAAUAAUUUAAAAGCUCAAUAGAGCUAUGAUAAAAACUAAAGGGAGGAUUCUUAAUCCGAUCCGGGAUCUUAAUCAGUUCAGGACCGAUCCACUUCCAGCUAUUACGCGUCAAACAUCCAUUUGACGAUUGACGUGUCACGCCAUCUCACUGUCCUCACAAGAAAACCCGUUACCUUCAAAAUGCUCCAAACCCAUCAACGCCGAAUUCAAAUCAAGCCCCAAGACCAAAUACAAAGCAAAAACAAAUAAACAAACGUCUGUUCAUUCAGUCUGAAAAAAUCAAAAGAAGUAAAAGGAUUGGCGAUGGCGAUGGCGGUUGAAGGAGGAGGGACAUUAUCGGAGAUAUAUCAAAGUGCGAAGAAGUUGCUGUUGAGAGCGAGAGACGGAGUUGAGAAACUGGAGAGACUGGAGAGCUCGACGUCGACUGGGGGAUACGAUUCGCCGGAGCUCUCCUUCGCUGUCAAGAAAGAUAUUUCUCAGAUCCAGUCACUCUGCGUCGAGAUGGAUCGCCUAUGGCGCUCCAUCGCCGACAAGUCUCAGCGCGAUCUCUGGAAGAGGUACCUAUUCAUUUACUGUUUUGCCACGUGGCACCGAAUCAACCUUGUGUCGUGUCCUAAUUGCUCUACGCCAGUUCGGUUGCAAUUCUGUGCAUGAACCGCAAUUUUUAUACUGAAUAUUACAUUAUUGAUUUUGUCUGAGCGACAAGGCAUGCUUCCACGUUUACUUGUUGCUUAGUUUUAUUGUUUUGCCUUCUAUGUUAACAGUCUAUAUAAGUUUUAUAUGUGUUACAGGCAUGUGUAUAUAUGGAAGUACAUUAAUAGCUGUUCAUGCUGUUGCUUGCUUGAGGUCGUUGGUAUAUUUGCAUUUGGAACUAAAUGUGCUUGGUGUGGGUUCGCUAUGUGUGUGUGUGUGUGUGUGUUUGUUUGCGUUUGAUGUUAAAUGGAAUUACCUUCUAUCGAGUCAGUGCCGCAAUUUGAUUGCUUGGUUUUUCAGAGGUGUGUUUUUAUGUUAUGUCAUGCAGAAAAGUUGAACAAGUAGCAGAAGAGGCUGAAUCAUUGAAAGAGAGUCUCGAUAAGUACUUUUUAAGAAAUCAGAGACGGAUAAAUGAAGCUAGAGAGAGGGCGGAAUUGCUUGGAAGAGCUGUAUGUUUAUUCAGUUUUCGUUAGAAGUUUUGAACGGAUUCUGUAGUGUUUUUCUUGUCUGGAAACGAGAAUUAGCUUUCCAAUCUGAUGAAUUUCUUUUAUGUUAUAGAAUGGAGAGUCGUCUCAUAUUUUGAGAAUUUUUGACGAGGAGGCGCAAGCAAUGCAGUCAGUACGCAAUUCAUCGAGGAUGUUGCAAGAAUCGUUUGCAACUGGGACAGCCAUUCUUGCCAAAUAUGCAGAACAAAGGGAGCAUCUAAAGGUAUUGACACUUAAGCUCCUUGUUUACAUGCACAGUUGCACACUAGAAAUUUUUGCCAAGCUCACUCAAACUGUGUGCAAACAAAGUUCACUAAACAGGGUCAAAUGAGAAAUUUACAUUCUUGUCAUGGUUGUAUUCUUAACAUGAUUAAAUAUUUAAAUGAGAACAAUGUUAGAUCCUCAAAGCAAUUAUCUUUAAUAUUGAUUUAUACUACUGCUAUAGAAAUUAUAAGUGUUUGCAGCACCUGCACAAAUGGCUGCAGAGAAUUUAGUCUGUCUAUGGUAAUAAUUUUAAAAGCUGGUAACUCCAAAUAUUCAACAGUGGCUGACAAAAACAAUCCUCAAGUUUUAAAGUAAAAGCAAACUUUGCUUUGAAAUAAUCAGUGACAACAAUGACGUGAAAGUGUCACCAACUGUUUAUAUAUAAUAUCUCCAAUAUUCCAGAAUUUAGUUUCAUAAUGGCUGGCAAAGACUUGGUUUUUUUAAGGUUUAAAGUAAAAACGAUCUCUGCUUUGAAAUGUUCAGUGGCAACAGUGAUGUAAAAUGAUCAGCAACUGUUCAUAUCUAGUAUCUCCAAUGUUUAGAAUUUUGUUUAAAAGAUCCGUUCCAUCCAUAAAAAAAUUUCAUUCUGAAUAAGCAACUCAAGAUUACACUUCGCAAGAACACACCAUCUACCAUUUCUCACAAAUUUAAAUGUCACAACCUAUGAUCCAUUACCAAUUGUGAGAAACGGCAGAUUAUUUGUUCUAAUGAAGUGUAAUUUGAGUUGCUUAUUUAAAAUGAAAUUCUUUUAUGGGUAGAAGGGAACUUCUAAACGAAGUUCUAGGAAUCAAAUUAGCUGUUUAGAUUUGAAUAGUUGGUGAUGCUUUGAUGUCACUGUUGCCACUGAUUCUUCUCGAAAAGAAACAGAUUUUUAAAUGGUAUUAUAGAGGUCACAGAAAAAAAAUAGUCAUGCUAUCAUUGAUAGCACUUGCCACUGAUGUUGAUAAUGAGUUUAACUGAUUAACUUCCAUCUUUGGUUCAGAAAGCACAAAGGAAAGCUCUGGAUGUUCUCAACACUGUGGGUCUGUCCAAUUCAGUAUUGAGGCUCAUUGAGAGGAGGAACCGUGUCGAUACAUGGAUCAAAUACGUAGGAAUGGUUUCUACAGUGGUCAUCUUAUAUUUCUUCUGGAGGUGGACUAGGUGAUCCGAUCUUCAUACUUAGCCACGCAUAGAUCAUUAAUCCGCAUACUUUGGAAUGAUUAAGUUUUGUUCUUGAUAUUUGCCCCAUAAGAGGGUUAAUGAGGAUGUACAAGGCAUUCUUUGAUGAGAGACUAUCCUCUUAUGAGGAUGUAUAAAGCAUUCUUUGUUAAGAGACUAACUCGUAUAGGACGGACUCCCAAAGAAGGUUCUUUGCAAUUCUUGAACAUUUAGAGCGAAGUUGACGAAACGUGCUAGUUGUUUUUGUAUUUUGGCAAAAGGGGAAUUACAGAGUUCGAAGAUUCUAAGAAAUGCGCCAAUUUUGUUUUGUUGUCAGAACGCAAAAACGGCCUGAUUGUGGACGGUUAAAUCCGGAAUUAUGUAGUGGAUUUGCAGUUAUUGAAGGGCAUGCUUGGGAAAAUAAUAUGGUCAAAUAAAAUCAAGAACAAUUAUAUUGUAUCUGCUGUUUAUGCGUCCGUACUUGAAGGUGUCCACGUGGCUGGUGUGUGUUUGUUAAACCAGUAAAAUUAAGUAGUGCGAAGUUCUGAUCGCCGCUCAUUGAUUGUUUUUUUUUUUAACUUUAAAUAAACUAUGAGAAAAGGCUUUGAAUGAGUCGCAGAUAAAUUAAAGUUUUUUUUUUCUUCUUCUAAAUUUAUAUCCAAUGGUUCGGCACAUGUUAUUUUCUUUAUUUUUAGUGCACACGGUAAACUAUUGAUAGUAUUUGGUGUAAACUCACUUUCAAAUCGAUGCUUCACGAAAAGUCCAAAUGACGCGCUAUGAAAGUAAUAUAGAUAACUAGGAUAAGUGGAAAUGAUAAACGAAUAAAAUGAAGUAAAAAGAAUUUUUCAUUUUUAAGGGUUACAAAAUAAGAAUAGUUAAUUACUUAAUUAGUUGACUUGCUAAAAAUUUUUCAUGCAAACAAAUGGUCUGGACUGGAAUCCGUUUAAAUGGAUAGGAAGAAAAUUAGAGUGUCGUAAAAGUACUGGAGUUUCAAAUCCCCUCACGUAGUCACAAGGAUUAGAAGAAAAUUGAAUUGUUAGGCAAAAUGAAAAAAAAGAAAAAAGCUUAACAUUUUUAUUUUCUAAAAAAAUGUUUUUCUUAGUUGUUUUGUUUUUUAAUUUUAAAUAUAUUUAAAAUUUUGAAAUUAAUAAAUGACUUUGAAAACUUGAGUGUGCUCGAGCCUCGAGAUCUACUCAAAUUCUUUUACAUUAUUACAUUAUGAAAAAUUGUAUGAUGUCGUGAUUAAACUAUUGUAUCAAUACUAUGAUAAACAUAAAUUUUAGAAAUUAUAUAUAAGACUAGUAAGUGAAAUGUAAAAUAAAUUAAUUAAUAUAAGAGUGGUAAAUAAUGUUUUAAAAUUAUAAACAAAACAAACACUUAUAAAAAUAACAUAAAAAUUAUAAAUCAACAUUAAAUUUUAAUGUAAAAAUAGUUUAUUUAUUUAAUUUAUUCAAGCAAAGAAAAACUUUACUCAUCAAUUGAAAACAAAAAUUUUGUAUUGAAAACAAUGGGAAUAAGUUUUAUUAAUUGAUUUAACCAUGAAUUUUAUAUUCAUGUCAGGAUAUUUAUAAACUGUUUUUUUUUUUCAUUUUCUAUCAUAGUAUUUGUUUACUAUACAAGUUGAUUAAGUAAACUUAUUAUUAUUAUUAGUAUUAUUAUUAUUAUUUAUGUGGAUCAAGCCAAAACAAAAUAAAAAUACAUUUGAAUAUUACUAGACAUAUAUGGAAUAUUAAUACAAUUGAAUCUAACUUUCAGUUUUAUACAUAAUUCAUCUAGUUUCAAAUUUUACUUCUUAUACUAAAAGAUCAUUUGAGGUUGCUAUCGAGGAGGUUUAAAAUGAUGCAAAAUCACUUAUAUCACAAAUAAAAUAUGAAAAAAAAUUUCUAAAAUUUGAUUUUGAGAGUAAGUUUUAUCCUUAAUAAAAUUCCACAUAUAUUAUCACGUCUAUUACAUAACCACAGAAUUAUCAUUAUUUGAUUUAGAAAUAAAAAUAGUAAAUAUAUAAUGUAAUCAUUAUUAUAGUGAGUUUUUAUUUAUUUUUUCAAUAACUCUUAUAAUAUUUACUUAUUUUACAUUCAUUUACAACUCUUCUAUUUUACUUUUAUAAUUUAUAUGUUAUUUUACACUUAAUGUUGAUGUACAAGUUUUAUAUCACAUUUGUAAACAAGUUUUACUUUAUAUUUACAUGUAUUAUGUUUUAUUUACUUAAUUCAUGUUUUAUUUUAUACUUAAUGUUGAUUUACAAGUUUUAUAUUAUAUUGAUAUAAGUUUUUAUUUUAUUUACUAAUGAUAUAUCAACUUACCACUGUUAAUUUACUUAUUUUACCUUCAAUUUGCAAGUCUUGUGUUUCAUUUACAUAAUUUAUUAUGUUUUAUUUUACGUUUAAUGUUGAUUUACAAGUUUUAUGUUAAAUUUACACCUCUUAUAUUUUAUUUACACAAUUUAUGUUCAAUUAUAGUAUAUUAUAGAAUGACUCAUUUGACAUUACAAUACAAAAUUAUAAACAUAAAUAGAUGUAUCAAAAAGUCUUGUCGAAAAAUGAAUCCACCUUAAUACGGACCUGUCUCAUUGUUUUAUAAUUAAAGUUGCACACUCUUACAAUGAACUUGAAGAAAUUGAAUUCUCAACAUCAAUAAUGAGGUGUCUAUUACUAAUAAUAGUUUAUAAAAAAAAUAAAAAAAAUAAAGAAAUAUGAUUAAAUUGAUCAAUGUAAUUUUAUUAAAAAAAAGAAGCAUUUUUAUUACAAAAGCAAUCUCAAAAUAUAUAUUUUUUGUAGUUACAAAAAAUCAUGACCUAGUGGCGACCUAGUGGCGACCUGGUGGGCGUAUAUACAAAAAUCAUAAUAUUUUUAUACUGAUUACAUAAAUUCGGUGAUCACAGACCACAGUAAAACCCUGAAACCGCCCAACGGGGUUCUUUACCAGAGGAAAAAAGGGAGGAAAGAAAAUGACUUUUUAAUAUAACGGCACGGGUUUAAGCCAAAAACGGUGGAAUCAAAUCAUUGACACGUUCGUGCGAUGCCUUCACUCCUCAGGCAAACCAGACUCCCGCAUGUGAAUGCCACGUGAACGUAGCUUCUUCACAUAAUUUUUACCCCAAUGUCCAAAUUACCCCUUAUCUUUUACUCCUUUUUUUUUCUUUUUAACUUUGCCCGAUUUUGAAGUCUAUUACGUAUUGCGGACUGCUGCCCUCGCUUGACGUGUUUUUUCUCCUUUUUUUUUUUUUUCCCUCUCCAAACUAUUCUUUUCAAUUUUAACUAAAUAAUUUUUUUUUUUAUUACGAACAUCAACUUAAAAUUUAGGUUAGUUAGACACUUCCCCACUUCAUCCUUAAAGUCAAGUAUUCAUAUCUAUCUGUCUAUGGUGAAUAAUUUUUUUUAUUUUUUAAACUACGAACAAGUUAUCUUUUUUUUUUUUCUUUUCCAAUAUCACUAUUUAUCCACUUUUAGUUUAAUUCUUUCUGCCUAAGAUGAUCAAUUUAAAUUAAAAAUGGGAUUUUGAAAUUAUUUACUAAAAAUCAUGAUUGUUCUUUUGACGUAUUUGAAUAAAGUUUAUUUGGAAAAAUUAAUGUAAAAAAAAAAAAUGUUGGAAGAUUACGACAAUGGAAAUGUAGUCUCUGGUGAAAUGCUCUGAUUCAAUCAAUCAUCAGCAAAUGCGGUUCGCACGUUGGCAAUGGAACUCGUGAUAGCACAACCGUGAAAUGUCCUUCAUUUGGGAGUCCACGUUAAUCACAUGUGGGUCCAUCUUGAGUGCUUUUGUGCUUUACAAUUAAAAUAGACAGACAGGCUGAUGACCUGACAAUUUCGAGCCUGAUAAAGCCCCUUCAUCAACUUGAUCAGAAGGACAGGACAGCUAUUAAUAGAAAAAAGCAGCAGACUAGUACUAAUCGAGAAGUCAAACAGAUAAAAACUAAAACUAAAUAAUCUAAUCUCCUCCUAAUUCACUAAAUUAUUUUAUUUCUAUUGGUAUAAUUAAUUAAUUGAUUGAUUAAUCAAACAUGCCUUCACAAUUAAAUAGUUUCAACAGUGUAAGUUGAACCACGUGUCAAGCAAAAGCAACCAUCAUUUAUUAUAAUUUUUUUUUAUUUUUUUCGAAAAAGGAAAAAUCAAAAAACAAGGCAAGUUGAUGCCAACAGGAUCUGAUCCGGAAGGGUAACCGAGUCAUUUCGCCGUCAUGCAUGCCUCAAUCCGGAUUGCCUGCCCGCCCCCACGUUGGAAAACCAGGGACGCAUCGAUAAGCAGUUUCAACACCCAAAACACAAACUUGGGGGCGGGAAUUGCAAAACGAAAUAACAGCUUUUGCUUUUGCUUUAAUUUUUUUCCGUUUGUUUUCUUAAAAAGAAAGAAAAAAAAAAAUACUCCCAGUUCCACAAUAGAGCCCCUGGUUUUGCCUAUUUCUUUAAUCCUUUUACGCAGACUCAUGAUAAAUAUCUCCAUCUAUCAGUCAGUCCAUACGGUUUCCUUUCAUCACCAACCCCACCAACGAAAACAAAAAAAACAAAACAAACCCCCUCUUCAGAAAUAUAAUUAUAAUUUUCUUUUUCUAUUGAAUUAAGCUUGUUGGGUAUAAUUUGCUAAUUAAUCAAAGAUCGAUCUAUGACGACGGAAGCGGUCAGCAAGGUUGGAUAUGCGCAUAGUAAGGUUGCUAUGAAGAAGAAGAGCGGUUAUCGAGGUCGAUGCAGGAGAAGAAAUCACGACAGAUAUGCACCCGAUAAUAAAACGGUGCCGAUGGCGCUGCAGCGUCUGUUUCUUUCUUGCAAAGACGUCUUCAGAGGCCCUGGAACCGUUCCCGCUCCUUCUCAUGUCCAAAUGUUGUGCUCUAUUCUUGGUAAGUGUUUUUUUUCUUACACUUCAUCAUUUCUGGUCCAAUUUUCUUGUUUUUCAUUUGGCCGCUGCACUCGCAUGACGUGUAUGUUGUGAAAUCUGAACCCAUCAUCAUCCUUCAUCCAUGCACAUAUAUAUUAUCAGUCAUGAGAAAUUUUGAAUCAGCCAUUAAAAAAAGAAAAAAAAAAAGAAAAGGAAAGAUUCAAUAUUAUCAAAUCAAUACCAUUUUGUUUCAUGAGAUGAUCUAUGAAAGAUGGGAAAGGAGCACUGCUCCUUAUUUCAUUUCCUGUCACGUCUGUGUUUCAAUCAAUUGUAAUAAUACAUAUAGCCACGUAAAAAGCAAGGGGCAAUACUCUUUACAGCACGAAAACCUUCUCAAAAAAGGGGCUUUACUUUAUUGGCAGUAAUGAAUUGUUUUGAGCAAUUCAAUUCAUCAGUGCACUUAUCAUGUUUACGUAGUUUGUCAAUUUGGUUCCAGUUUUUGGUUCUUUUUAUUGGAUUCAGUGCCGAAAUGUCAUGUGUGUUCAUAGGACGUACUGGGAAAAGGAUUAGAAAUCUGUACUGAAUUUUUUUAAAUUUUGGGGGGGGGUUUUUUUUUGGGGUGGAUGGGGUUAUGGAUCUAAGUGGAUGGUACCAAUUUUCAAAAAUGUAGUUUAAUUAACUUUCCAGUUGAAAUUACAAAACCAAACCAUCCGAAAUGGAUUCUUCGAGAAAAGGUGGGUUCAGAAAACAAAGUGGUUGCUUCUAGGUGAAUCCAGAUUUUUUUCACGCGGACACAUGGUACCUUUUGGUUGAUUACCCAGCCACAGUGUUGCUUGAGGGGACAAAAAUAUCAUAUUUGUUUUUUUUUUUUUUUCCAAAUUCCUUUUUAAUUCGUAACUCAAUCUCAUGGGAUCCUACUCAGCAGCCAUUGUGAUUAUUUUUUUUACCUGACGACGCAAAAAUCUUUGCAUUAGAAAGGAUACAUAAGCACAUUUGCCUACUGUUGCUACGUGUACAUGUGCAAUGGUUUGGUUGCAAAACUGGAAGCAUUGGCACAUUAUAUAUAUGUGUGUUUUUUUUUUUUUAAUAUGUAUAAAUGCAUGGAUCAUGACACUUGGCUAAGUUAAAAUUUCCAUUUUCUCGUUAUCAUAAAGAUUGCCAGUGACUCAAACAAGCUUUUCUUUUUAAAUUUAUGAUGCUACAGAUGAAAUGAAGCCAGAGGAUGUUGGGCUUAGCAGUAAGUUACAGUUACUUAGUGCCAAAGAUGCAAUGAAAGGGACGCCAAUUGUCACAUCCACUACAAUAUACAAAUGCCAGAACUUUUCGGUAAAGACAUAAGCUAUUCAUAUUGGGCUAAAUUAAAUUCUUUUAUUAUCGUAUACUAAUUUGUAAACCAUACUAAUUAAUAGUGCAAAUUUGAUUUAGAACUUGAUAGAUUACCUUUUGGAUUCUCUUUUGUGCAGUUGUGUCUUUUCUUUCUUCCUCCAACUGCUGUGAUCCCCUUGCACAACCAUCCGGGAAUGACUGUUUUUAGCAAGCUUUUGCUCGGGACAAUGCACAUAAAAUCGUACGAUUGGGUCGAUCCUGUUGACGCAAACGAUUCUGCAGCCCCCACAAAACGUGAGUACCGCUUACCUUAUACAUAUAUGUCCAUGUAUAAUGCACACACGAACACACACACACACACACUCACAUAUCAAAACAACACGAUAACUUGAAUGUGCUAGCUCGGACUAGGAUGAUCAUUUGUGACUGAAAGUGAUGAUUUAAUUAAUUUGCAGCGCGAUUGGCGAAGUUGAUAGCCGACAGUGAUUUCACAGCACCUUGCAACACUUCUGUGCUAUAUCCAACAACAGGAGGCAAUAUCCAUGAAUUCACAGCCAUUACGACAUGUGCCGUGCUCGAUGUGCUUGGACCUCCCUACUCUAAGGACGAUGGUCGGGACUGCUCAUAUUACAAGGAGUUGCCACUUCCCGCGGUUCCAAGUAAGCGAAACAAAACCACUUGUUACUGAUUAAAAACAACCUCGUUUAAACCUCCUCGAGUAGCGCUUUCAGAGGUCUUACCAAUUAAACCCACCGAUUUUGUUAAUGCAGAUGGAGAGAAUCAGGAGGCAAAAGAGGAUGAUGGUGGUGAGAGUUGUAGGUGGUUGGAAGAGAUUGGGGUGCCAGAGAACUCACACAUGGAUGAAAUUGAGUACUUGGGACCGCAGAUAAUUGAGUAGUAGCUGUAACUAGCUUCAGCCCACAGUCGCGUGAUAAAAAAAAAUUUCAACGCAUUAUCUUCUUUUGUUUCAUAGCUAGUCAAUGGUUUUGUAUUUAUAUAUACACAUAUAUUACGUUGUUUCCUGACCUGAGUUUUCACUAUGUUAAUAGCAAAAUUUCAUUUCUUUUUCUUUUUUCUCUUUAAUCCCGGUAUCUUCUUUAAUAACUUGAUUACUUGAGUACACUGUACCAUUGAAAUCAUGGUUCAUGCCAUAGUUCCCUUAGAGGAAGGUCCAAACCCGGCUUAGGAGAAAUGGAGGUUUGGGCUGUCGAGGGCCUUGGUGUUGCUAUGUUCCCAAGAGAUGUUUACUUGGGCUGUCGAGCGCGCCGAGAAGUGCUUAAUAUUACAUCAAUGGGCCGGGCUUGUAACCGACUACUACACAUUCCCAUGGCGGCAAUCCUGAUCAGUAAUUAACUUGGGAUUUUGCAUUCAAUGAUUGCCACAAUAAUAUCAGCAAACUUUUCAGAAGAACCUUAAUUGAUAAUUGUCAUUUUGCAAUCAUAGGUUAGUUGAUGGAUAUACCAUGGGCCCUGAAAAUUAAUUAAAAUAUCAAACAUUGUAUGCUCCUAGGUUGGAAAUUUUUCAAAAUUUUCAAUAGAAAAAUAACCUCAAAAUCAAUAUUUUACAUGUGAAGAUCUGUUUCAUUAACAAGCGCGAUGGGCCAAACGGAGGGAGCCAGGAAUUUUAAGCUGUUCAUAUUUGACGCCCUAAUUUGGGAUUUGCUAAUACGGAAAAACUUUGAGCUGCUCACUAAUUUAUAUCUUGACUUCGAGAAUCUGCGCAAUUACUAAUUAGUAGCCAUCAAUAAUUGUCAAAAAUCAAUUUUGAAUUUCGAUAUUUUUGAAUGCAUUGGUGUUACGUGUUUCUCCAUACGCGUUAGUAAAUUUGAGAUGGUGUAAAUUUGUAAUAAACUAAUAAUAUCUUCUUUUUUUUAUAAUUUGAAAAUCAACCCAAUCUGAUUCUCUAAAUUAACAAGAUCAAAUUGACUAUCCAAUGUUCAUUCACUAGGAAAGUCCUAAAGGUCCCUCUAAACUAGAAAGUUACUCAAAUCUAUGGCCAAAAUAAAGUCUUCUUAUAAUUAAAGAAACAACCCAUCUUUUUUUAAGAUCUUCUGACAAUGAAUUUUCAAUUAUGAUGGGGUUUGAAGUUUUGAAAUUUUCUAAGAAUUAUUAACAACUGAAAAGAGAAAGCAAAAGAAAAAGGACGAUGUGAUAUGGCAUGGGACAUGGACUUCCCACCACCUUUACAUUGCCAUCAUGCAAAAAAAAAGCUCUCAAUUUUAUGCUUAGCUUGUUCUUGUUUUCUUUCUUUUAUCACUUCUUUAUUACGUGGGUCUUGAAUUCUCAAUAGUUUCUAAUUGUUAAAAAACUCCAUGAAAAUUGCUUUCCCUAUUGUAAUACCUCCAUUAAGGAGAAUGAAGGGUUAAAAAUGUACCGACAGAUACUGGAAAAUUAUUGAAUGAAGUAAUCAACAUGAUUGUUCACUGACAAUAUUAUAUUCGGAAUAAUGAUAGCUGGUUGUUUUGGAUUGUUUUAGAUGUUGUAUUAGCCAAUUAGGCAUAUUGGUAUAUAUUAUUAUUAUAUGAAAUACUAUUGCCUUUUUUAUUAGCAAAAGACUUUCGGUUAAGAUUUUGCUUAAUUACACGAUUGCAUCGUGAUUGUUUUUAAGCUUCAUCAUUCAAUUCCAAAACUUAACGUAACAAAAGAUCUUACUAACAAUACUAUUUUAAUACCCAUUUUUUUCCCAGUCACGUGAGUGUAUAUGAUCUCCAUAUCUUUGGUACUAUAUCUAAAAAAUUUUUCCAAUCAAAUUAAUUAACACCCGCAGCUACAUUUAAGCAAAUUGUUCUAAGCCGCUAGGGUUUAAUCUAGUAGUUAAAACACAACCCUUACAAUUGUGAGAUUAUGCGUUCGAACCCUCACAACAAUACAUUGUGGGGGUUUAAUUUUCUUCUCUAAUUUGAGUGAAAGCAGUCUCAUAAAAAUAUGGAUUGUGCUUGUCCCAAAAUUAUUUAAUUAUAAAUAUCAGUAUACUAAUCUCAUAAAAUAUAAGUAAAUACGAGUUGGAAUAUGAUCAAUAAUGUCAUAUAAUUUUUUUUAUUUAAAAAAAAAAAAGCAAAGUGCUAUGCAAUCCACUUGAUAUUACGACAAUAACUGGCACACUAAUGAACAACUAGUAAAUUCAUUUUAAAAGAAAUAACACCCCAAAUCAUUAAUAUUUAAAAAGAAUCAUUUGAAAAAAUCUUAAAAAGUGUUCGGCAAUCCACUUGUCAUUGUAACAAUCACUCACACGCCACUGAUCAACUUUAGUUUCAUUCAGUAUGCCGAGAAAUAGAAUUUAAAAAUAACAACACCUCAAAAUCAUACAUAUUUGAGAAGAAUCACAUGAAAAUUGAGCAGGUCAAAUAGUUGUGUAUAGAACAAAUUUUUUCAUGAGACAGGCUGGAUAGCAAGAAAUGGAAGCCAACUGUGAGUUUCGGUCUUUCAUAGAAUUUGGCCUAACGUUGUCACAUUCACUAUUCACGUACCCAUAUUAUCAUCAUCCCAGUGGGCACUGGCACUGCUGAGUGCUGACCCAAUAGAACAAAAUAAUAAUAAUAAUAAUAAUUCCCACUUGCUCAAUAUUUUAUUCUUUUCAUUUUAAUUGUCAUUUUCCCAAGUAAAUAAAAACCUUUUAUGCAAUUAAUUCUGCUUGUCGGGUGGAUGAGGUGGUUCAUCACGUUCAAAUGUUCAAUCAAUGACAAUUUUAUCGCAAAUUCCAUUGCUUAUAAUUGUUGUAACCAAACAAAUCCCUGGUGCCUGCACUAACACCUUAGCUUCAUUUUCAAUUAAGGCGGUUUUCAACAACUUAUUAACUUUAUUUUUAAAGAAAAAGAAAUCCCAAGUGUUUUUCUCACUAAUUGAUUGCUUAAAAAUACUUAAGAAAAUUACCCACAAAUAAAUUAACGAUAAACAUUUAGUACUAGCUUAUGAUUUUUUUGGGGGGGGGGGGGUUUCUAAUAAAAUUUGGAUUAUUUGGGUUUUAUAUUUGAGAAAAGUUAAGUUACGACGAUCGAUAAUUAUAUACCCUUAAAUAAUUAUUAUCUAAUUUGGAUAUUUUUAUAUCUUAAUGAGUUCGUGUUGAUUUGCCAAUCUUACAAGUCUUUAUUUUACAAAAUAUAGAUAUUUAGAUUGAAAAAAACAUAUAUAUAUAUGUAUGACAGUAUGAGUAGUGUAUAUGUUACAAGAUAUUUUAAAAUUUAAUACUUUAGUUGAGAAAUGCCAUCACCCUCAACUACUCGGUUACAAGAAUAUUAUUGCGUUAUUUAAUAUUCUGUUAUCGAUUGCUUUAUUAGGAAGAAAUAAUGAAAAAUGGGACAUCCAUUGCUAAAGUACAACACAACAUUGUUGACAAGUGAGUCCCCCUUGAAGUGACAACUAUUUUUUUUCUUCCUUAAUAAAGGACGAGCUAUGUGUAUGUGGUUUUGCCGUGCAACCCAAGUUUCAAUGUCUGUAUCAUUUAUAGGGGGAAACCUUAGGUGCAACCCACACACGCCACUCGGCUUUUGGCAGCCUGGUUGAGAGGGCAGCAGUUAUUUUUGUGGGGGCUAAAACAUUCAUUCUUUUUUUCUUUUGUAAUUUUUCAUCUGUGAGGAUUAUUUGUCAAUAUAGAAAUUUGAUACUGUAAUCAAUAUUAAAAAAAAAAAAAAAAGUACCCACACAUACACACAUAUAUCUAAGAAAAUAAAUGAUGAAUACUAUGUAAGAGAAAAUUUGGUAGUUACAGGGUGAACACUUUCUUAUCAAAAUAAUAAUAAUAUAAUAAAUUAGAGACCCUCCUGAAUAUUUCCAACAUGCUUCUCAAAUUGCAUGAGUGUUGGAUUCAUCAACUUAUUAUUAUUAUUAUUAUUAUUAUUAUUAUUAUUUUAUCAUCAAUUGAUGUGCAAAAGGGUGAUGUUAUCAGUUAUCACGGCCUCCUGAGAAAAAAAAAAACUUUAAAUUCAACGUGAAAUGAAAAAUGUAAGGAAUCAAAUCGAAUUGUCAAAAUGAAAUGAGAGGCGAACAAUUUAACUGUUCAGAAAAGAAGCAAAGGCGCCAAAAGCAACGGACGGAACAUAAAAGUGGGUCCCACGUUUCAAAGGGACAAAACCAGAGAAAGCCAAAGCCCACCCCGCAACGAAAGUGAUGCCAAAGCUUACAAUUUGUAUUACCUUAAAAAUUCUGUUCGGUUCAUUUAAAUUUUAUUAUAAAAUCAUUUUCAAAAUUCCAAAUUUUAUAACCAAAAAAUUCGCUGCAUGCAGCGAGAAAGCAGCAAGUGAAGAAUAAAGGGUUCCCCCCGUCAGCAAGAAUCUUUUCUUUUUUUUUUUCGCUUUUUUUUUUCCCUUUGUUUUUUAAGAAAGCAAAAAUUAAGAGAGCAUUAGUUUUGCUGUCAUGAUAAGUAUGGUGUUCAAGAGAGUGUCGGCUAGUGGGAAGUGUUUUGUCAUUCAGUCAUUGUGUUUGCAAUUUUCUUAUGAACCCGUGUCAAUAAAAUGUCUUGGCUUGUGAACAGAAACUGAAAUUGAGCUUCUUUGUGUGUCAGUGAGAUUUACAGUGUCUGUGCAUUGAAUGUAUGGUUGCUAAAUUUUUGCUUUUUUCUUCUUCUUCUUUUCUUUUUUCCCCCCGAAGUGGAUAGUCAAGAAAUAUGAAGAGAUUAUGACUUGAGAUUUUUUUUUAUUUUAUUUGAAGUGAUGAUCUGAAUUAACUGGGCUUUGGUUUCUAUGGUAGAAGUUUUGUUCUAUUUUGUGAGGGGAUUUCUUCAUGAGUUAGGCAAGGAAUUAAUUCGUUUUGAAGUUAGAAUUUAUGUGUUCAAAGUUAGUUUCAAGUGACCUUUCUAAAGUCUUUAAGGUAUAUUGUUGGAAAUUAGCUGGCUUUUUUGUUCAAUCAGUCUCUCAAGAGGUAAGCUCCUUAUGAUCCUUUAGAAGUUUUUAGUUAUGAUAAUGUCGAUUGAUAAAUUAUCUGUAAUUUGUAUAAUAUUUGCAGAGUUUCUGUUGAUCUUGGGAGCUGGCGCUUCUGUAAUUGAGAAGCUAGAGGCAUCACUCUGUUAUCCCAGCGGAUUUUUAAAAGCUCUAGAAUCCCUUUGUGAUUUUCUCUAGUGUUCCUUUUUGUAUGCAUUGAUGGCAAGAGCAUCCAGAUUCAGUCAGUGUGCACUUCUGGUGCUUGCUUACAUUUUGCUUCAGGUCAAUCAUUCGGAGCAACUGCAGUCUUCUCAGGCUCAGACCCUUUUGAGGAUUCAAGGGCUUUUAAACAAUCCAACUGUUUUAAGCAGCUGGAAUAUCACCACUGAGUUCUGCAAUACAGAACCAACCUCGUCUUUAACUGUAGUAUGCUACGAAGAGAGCAUAACCCAGCUGCAUAUAGUCGGCAACAAGAGAGCUCCUACGUUGCCUCUAAGCUUUUCCAUGGAUUCCUUUGUGACGACUCUUGUUAAGCUUCCGGACUUGAAAGUCCUCAGGCUGGUUUCUCUAGGUCUAUGGGGUCCCUUGUCUGGUAAAAUUUCACGUUUAUCGUCACUGGAAAUACUUAAUAUGAGCUCAAAUUUCCUGAAUGGUUCUGUACCUCAGGAGCUUUCAAUUUUAACUAGCCUUCAAACACUCAUACUUGAUGAAAACAUGCUUGCUGGUCGGGUUCCAGAUUGGUUGGGUUCAUUACCGAUUUUGGCUGUUUUGAGCUUGAGGAAUAAUAUGUUCAAUGGGACUUUGCCUGAUUCGUUUAGUUACUUGGAGAAUCUUAGAGUUCUUGCGCUUUCAAACAAUCACUUUUACGGAGAAGUUCCUGACUUCAGUGGUUUGACUUACCUUCAAGUACUUGACUUGGAAAAUAAUGCUUUGGGACCUCAGUUUCCUAAAGUUGGCAAAAAGUUGGUUACAAUGAUACUGAGCAAAAACAAGUUCAGGUCUGCCAUUCCUGCUGAAGUGAGUUCCUAUUAUCAGCUUCAGCGGCUAGAUCUCUCAUCUAAUAGAUUUGUUGGACCAUUCCCUCAAGCACUUUUAUCCUUACCUUCUAUUACUUAUUUGAAUAUUGCUGAUAACAAACUCACGGGGAAGCUUUUCGAUGAUCUUUCUUGCAAUCCCGAACUUGGAUUUGUGGACUUGUCAUCAAAUCUGCUGACUGGACAGUUGCCGGAUUGUCUACUUGCAGGUUCUAAAAACAGGGUUGUCCUGUAUGCUAGAAAUUGUCUAGCAGCUGGAAAUGAAAAUCAACACCCGCUUUCCUUUUGUCAGAAUGAGGCUUUGGCAGUGGGAAUUUUACCUCUGCAAAAGAAGCAGAAACAAGUUUCCAAAGCAGUUCUUGCGUUGAGUAUAAUAGGAGGAAUUAUUGGGGGAAUCUCACUUUUUGUGAUUGCUUUCUUGCUUGUUAGGAGAACUAAGUCCAAGCAAACAAUGAAGAAGACUCCAACAAGAGUAAUUCAAGAAAAUGCUUCAACUGGGUACACCUCGAAGUUCCUCUCAGAUGCAAGUAAGGCUUCAUCUCCCCUUAAUCCCCCUGCCAAGUAAUUCCCAUUCUGUGUUUCUGUUGAAAUCAAGCAUGAAUCUGGGCACACCUCAAAGCUGCUACUGGAGUCAUGCAUUGUGCAAGCUUUAAUGUAUUUAUGCAUGUGUCCACACACAAUGUAGUGUUGCAUUUUUAGGACAUAGGACCGUAAGUUUUAAUUGAAAGGUUGUCUUUGAAUACUCUAUUUUGAUCAUCCAACUUGAAGCCCUCACAUAGAAAUUAUUGACCAGUCAGUUGCAAGAAAUCGAGUGAUGAUUGUGUUCUUGUCUUAAAGCCAGUUAAUAAUAUUCUUGAACUGUUAAAUUGUUGUCCAAGUUUUAAGCUAUAUUAAAAUUGACCAUAUGAUCGUUUGUGCCCCCUGAAGGGUAUAUUUCUCAAACAAUGAAGUUGGGAGCACUUGGUCUUCCAGCUUAUCGAACCUUUUCCUUGGAAGAGCUUGAGGAAGCUACAAACAACUUCGACACCUCUGCUUUCAUGGGUGAAGGUUCUAAAGGGCAGGUAUGCUACUCUGGUACAAUAUAUAUAUGAUGCCUACUUUCAUGUCGCAAUGAUGCACAGUAUGACAGUUCUGACAAUUUGUAUUUUCCCUUUGCGUGAUCCGUUCAAAGAACGGAAAAGGAAAAGUUGGUCCAGCAUUUCUCUACACCUCACAUAUUUCAUGCUUGCAGAUGUACAGGGGUCGCCUGAAGAAUGGUACCUUCAUUGCCAUUAGGUGCCUUAAAAUGAAAAAAAGCCACAGCACUCGAAACUUCAUGCACCAUAUAGAGCUGAUAUCAAAACUCAGACAUUGUCAUUUAGUCAGUGCUCUUGGACACUGCUUUGAAUGCUACUUUGAUGAUUCAAGUGUUAGCAGAAUAUUUCUCAUCUUCGAAUACGUUCCAAACGGCACACUAAGGAGCUGGAUAUCUGGUAAUUCAUGAAAAUCUUUAAUUCGUUUCUCAGGGUGGAGGAUAUAAAGUAAUUAAAGCCACUCUUUUGUACUCCUCUGCUCUAUAAGCCGGCUUUAUGGGGUCUUCAAAAGUAGCUGUGAAUUUUUUAACCUUGAUCCUGCGUGUAGUCAUUGAAUAAAGUAAUCAAUCAGUCUAGAUAGUUCAGUUUCCUGCAAGUAAUUAAUUUACUUAAAGAGAAUAAUUCGUGGUUUUUAAAAUAUAUUGUUCAAAGUCAUCAAGAAAAGACCGAAUCGGAAUCAUGUUCCAUAGUAAUCACAAGAAAUUACUAUUUUAUGUCCUCCAUCCUGACUUGUUGUUAUAUCCAGUUAAUCAAAUUAUGCCUUUAUGUUCUGGCUGGUUUCAAAGUCUUAGAUACUUUUAUGCAGAAGGGCAUGCCUGGCAAUCACUUACUUGGACACAACGUAUAUCAGCUGCAAUAGGGGUGGCAAGGGGCAUACAAUUUUUACAUACAGGGAUUGUGCCUGGUGUAUUUUCAAAUAAUUUGAAAAUAACAGACAUUCUACUAGAUCAGAACCUUGUUGCAAAAAUUAGCAGUUAUAACCUGCCUUUAUUAGCAGAAAAUGCCGAGAAGGUAAAAAGGAGAGAAUCUUCCUUUUCAUCAUUCUGUCCAUCUUUUCCAGUGCCAUGCACUUUUCAGUUGAUUUGUAGCUUGCUUCAUCUGUGCAGGUUGGUCAUGUAACCCCUUAUUCUGGAUCCAUAAAUCCUACAAAUAGUGCAAGGUAGGUAAUUGCUUCAAUAGUCUGACAAAUGUUGUUGCAGUUCAUUAGAAAUAUUAAAAAAUAGGGAUAUUAUCAUUUUUCCACCAAAGGUAUUCUGACACAUCAUGUCAGUACCACGGUUUAGUAAAACUAUCAAUUUACCACCAAACAUUUAAACUGUUAGCAUUUUCUCACCAUUCCGUUAAAACUCAGUUAAUAUGUAAUGAAAAUUUUCUAAAAGGUCAAUUUUACCCCUGGAGCAUAAAAGACCAUGUAAUUAACUUUUUAUGAAUUUUGUAAUUAAAUCAUCAUUUAUUGUUCUUCCUUCUUAAAGGACAAAAAUUACCCUUUAUGAAUUUUGUAAAAUUGACCGUGUGGUGUUAGGUAAUUCAUAAAUUGAUUUAAUUUAUUUAAUUUUUAAAGGGCAAAUUUAUUUAUUUAAUUUUUUGUGUAAAAUUAUUAUCAUCAUAUCAAAGAUUAAAUUGCUUCUUUUGCACUUUUUUUUUUUUUUGCCCUUUCAUAAAUUGAGUUUUAGUAGUAUAAUAAAUUGUCUUUAGCUCGUCAAUUUAAUAAAUAAAUUUGCCCUUUAAAAAUUAAAUCAAUUUAUGAAGUACCUAGCACCACACGGUCAAUUUUACAAAAUUUAUAAAGGGUAAUUUUUGUCCUUUAAGAAGGAAGAACAACAAAUGAUGAUUUAAUUAUAAAAUUCAUAAAAGGUUAAUUACAUAGUCUUUUACGCUCCAGGGUAAAAUUGACAUUUUAUAAAUUUUCUGUUACAUAUUAAUUGAGUUUUAACGGAAUGGUGGGAAAAUGCUAACAGUUUAAACGUUUGAUGGUAAAUUGAUAGUUUUACCAAACCAUGGUACUGACAUGAUGUGUCAGAAUACCUUUAGUGGGAAAAUGAUAAUAUCCCUAAAAAAUAAAAGGAAAAACUAAAAAGGAAGCCUUAACGGGCAACUAAAAUUGCUAAAAAGAAUAUGUUGGGUAUAAACGUAUAAGAUCAUGCACUAAUAAAUCAUGCUGCAUGAAUAUCUACUGCUAUGAGAAAAUAAGUGAUGACAAUCUUCAAAUUUCCUCUAGUUUCUGCUCUUAGAAUUUUCUAGUCAUACAAUUCUACCAAAACAAAUUCAUUCUGAUUUAAAUUGAUGUAAGAACUGUUCUCUCUACACUCUCUUAUUUGGCAGGGGGAAACUUGAAGAUAAGAUUGACAUUUAUGACUUUGGAUUAAUUUUACUAGAAAUUAUUGUUGGGAGGCCAUUAAAAUCCAGGAAAGAAGUGGAUCUUCUGAAAAAUCAGGUAAUGGUUCUGCUUGUUUACAUUACUUUCUUUCAAAAAUCUUUCAUAUCCAUUCUUCUUUCUCAGUCAUCAUGUGAAGAGUUCAGAAUGCCGUGGAAAUUUGAUCACUCUUUGGUGCACAGCUAACACAGUAACACCCUAGGAUUUGUGUUCUAAAAUUGCAUCUACUCGGGCUCUUCUAGAUUUAUGCCAACUCUACUGCUAAAACUUGAAUGUUUCUCUUCUUUGCAUCCUUAAUCUGGUGGCUUACAACUAUGUCAUGUUAACAUAGACCGAAACCUCUUCAUGAUUACUAGCUGGUUACUCAUGACAGCAUACCUUUGACUUUCUGUAGUUACAAGCUGUCAUUACUGCUGAUGAAUCAGCACGACGGAGCAUGGUUGAUCCAGCAGUUAACAAGGCAUGUUUGGAUGAGUCACUGAAGACAAUGAUGGAAGUCUGUGUCAGGUGUCUGCUUAAGAACCCAGCAGAGAGACCUUCAGUUGAGGACGUGCUAUGGAAUUUGCAGUUUGCUGCUCAAGUUCAGGAUGCAUGGCAUUCUCAGAGCAGUGAAGGGUCUCCAAUCUCACCUCCAUGGCCAUCACACCAACACCUUUCCUUUCAUUAGUUGCAACAUUCAGGUCCUUACACUGCUAAAUAUAAACCUGUUAACAAAUCUUUUGAUAUAAAUACACAUCUUAUUUCCUACAAACUCUCCAGUAAAUGUUGAGUUUCUGGUCUUCGAUCUUCGCUUUACAUUGUGCCUACUGAUUUGAAACAAAAAAUUUGAAAUGCAGGACAUGCUGUACGUGGCUUGAUGACAAUUGUGCCUGAACAUUUUCUAUCACUCCUACCUCUUUCCUUCCAUGUAAUUUUUGCGACAAACAACUCUAAAGUUACAGUUGAAGAUGACAUUUUUCAGAGAGACCAAAAGCUAGCUGUCUCUUGUUAUGCUAAACAUCUUGUUUCCAGUUCUCCAUGGUUGGAUCCUAGCACAUAUCCUGGAUUAUAGAUCAAUGGUUGCAGGUCCCGUAUCCCAGUCAAAUCAUCUAUGCAUUUGUUUAAUAUUUUUCCACAAUGAUGAUCAAAGGGGAUAUGUUGUCUGCGUCCAUUACUCUUUCUUUACUAUUGUAAGGUGCAGCUAAAAGUAAUGAUGUACAAGCUUUUUCUAUGUUAUUGUAUACACAUAUCUAAGCCCAAUGUUUUGGCAGGAGAUGGUUGUUCACUUUCGAACGUUUUGCUUCUUUCUGGGAUCCGGGUUGAAUCUCAAAUUUUUACAAUUUACAACCUCAAAAUCGUUUAGCCGUAGGUGUGGCCUGUCAAAAUUCAAGUUUCAAGAUCAGUCUCUAUUUGAAUAACAUUCAGUAAAACCCUACAGGUUUAGUAAGAUAUCGUCAACCUAACGGAAUUCAGAGAUCCAUCUUCAGCCAUUAAUAUUCCAUCCAACUUACAAUGCAAUGAGCGUAUCAGAUAUUGCCAGAACAAGAAGUCUCCAUUCACUAAUUAGAUUAAGACAGGAUUUUAUCCCAAGUCUUAAUCGCAUCUGUUCAAUUUUUCUAUGCAAUCGCUUUCCUAGCUCAUGGCCCCCAUAAUUCGUGGUCCUCUAUGUCAGUUGUCAUCCUCUUGAUCACCUUUAUAUUUCAUUUUUCCUCUUCAAAUAAUAAUGUUUCGAGGUUUCAUGUCCAUGGAUGUCGACAUGCUCAAGCUCGAGGAAACUCCAAAAGGGAGGUAAAAGGAAAAUGAGGUUGUAAUGGAGAAAGGGAAUUUGGUGAAAAAAUAAUCACCAUAAAACACAAUGCAAAAUAAGAGUUACUAAAAGACGGCCAUUCACAACAUUCAAAAAUCCCACAAAAUAAUUCCAGUGAGUAAGAGCUCCUCUGUUUUCCUCUUUUGAGAGUUGAAGAUUGUCUUUAAGACAUCAUUGUACUCCUAUACAAAUGCUACAAAUAAAUUACAGUUAGAUGAAAAAUGUUUCAAAAGUAUAAUUUAAAAAAAAAAUUGAGAAAUUAGCAAGAGGUUCAACCAGAGCUGUCUACAAAUCAUCCAAAGAAAUCCUCUAACUCUGAUAACAAUGCACCUGAAAUCACAUUUAUGAAGGACACCACUAUUGGACAAAUCCAGGGAACAUCGUCACUUCAGAACCAGAGUGCUUUUAUUAGGCUUUUAGUCUGCUGUCCAGCUCUGCUCCACUAUUUCCCGCACUCUUCGGUUGUACUCUCUCUUAUUCUCACUGAACAGCCGAGCUGCUUCAGAGUUUGCAGGAGAGUUUGGAUUUGGAUCACAAAGCAGAGACUGAUAAAGACAUAAGUAGCAUCGGGUUAGCAUCAUCUUGUACAUCCACUGACAACCCCCCAAGCUCAUUUAUUUUAGGAUCAACCAUAACUCACAUGAAAUCUCAUGCAAAAACCAAAUUGUCAAGUGCAAACAUAGCAUAUUUGAAAGCUAUAUUAUUAACCAAUUAUUUUAAAGAACACAUUAUAACCAAACUAUAAAUGUUUGAAAUAUUGAUGAAGAAGCUGAUGCAAGAUUCCAUCAUGUUGUGAGUGAGUGAGUGAGUCAGGGGGGGGGAGGGGAAGAAAAGUCAGUCACAACCUGGUAACAAGGAUAAUUUCAGUUUGAAUAAGCAUGUAUUCUGAUUACCAGCUACCAUCAACAAAGAUCAAAAAGAUAAAAGAAAAUGCCAAAAUCAUAACAAAUACUCCACAAUGCCAUCAUUGUUAUGAGAAAGACAAAUUUGAAAACUUUUCAUUUGCAUUUUAAGUCAAAAGACAAAUUUGAAAACUUUCCAUUGCAUUUUAAGUCAAGUUAAAUAUGGUAAGUACAAUAUCAUGUCUUCUCCCACCAAAAACAAAAAAAAAAAAAAGACAAUAUCAUGUCUUCUCCCACCAAAAACAUAUGGUAAGUACAAUAUCAUGUCUUCUCCCACCAAAAACAAAAAAAAAAAAAAGAUUCCAGAUUAAGAGUGCCAACAGUAAUACUACCUGGGAUACUUGUCAUUGUACGAUUUUGACCCCAUGCACAUGAGUUUAGGAAUGAGCAUGAAAUUUUACAGGUUCGUCUAUGUACAGUAAAAAGUGCUCUAUAUCACAGUUUUAUGUUAGCUUUCGCGUGGAUUAAAAAUUAGAUAACUAGAAUUCCAGCCUUGUUUUGUCUAGUCCAUAGAAACACUUGAAAACAGCCGCAUGUUUGAUACUAAAUCUCAAAAAUCAGUUUGUUUACAGCAUUUUUCAGAUGAGACAACUGACUAUAGAUUCCUCAAAUUUCUUUAAUGGAAAAUACUUAAAAUCAUUCAUAUCAAUGCAUCAAACAGUAAUAUUUAUGUGUCGUAUUUCAGACCAUAAACUUAAACAUCAAAUAAUAAAGUGACCAGGUCAUAAAAUCACAGAUAAAAGAGAAGCAAGAUAUGUUGGGAAGAAAACAAAAGAGAAACACCGUGCAAUUAGUCUUUCUUAUGCACAUAAAAGAUACAAAGGAACACAGUAGGCAAACCAAAUAAUAUGAAGUCAUCAUUUGAUGAAACAGGGACUUUGGUCUAUGCAAACCAGCAGAUUUUCUAUUUCGAAGAUUGUCUUAAAACAUGGAAGAUUCACAUUUAUGUUCAGUUAAUAUAUGAAAACAUAUAUAAUGAUGCAAAAAAAAUGCCUUCACAGUGCAGGCUUGUUGACCUCAUAAGCACUUGGAAUUGCGUCAGGGUAAGACAAUCUGAAAAGCUUUUAGCCACUAAUAUCAUGGGUGUGAUUCAGUUGCCAAUUCAAACUAUCUCCACAUUUCAAUUAAGUAGAAGGACUUAUAAAAAGAAGAAAGGGGGAAACAGGAAACAUAACAAAAAUACGGAAAAGGGGGAAACAGGAAACAUUUAACAGGGGAAACCUUAAAAAAUGUGUUAGUCAUAUUGUCUAUUCUCUUUUCUUUUUCCCCCUUCAAAGCAAAAAAGCAAUUUUCUUUCAAUAACCAACAUUAAUUAUAAGAAAUUACGCAGGCAGAAAACAUCCAAUAUCAAUCAAUGAUUAACAAGAAAUAGAAUCCUUUUCCCACAAUCAAGAAAAAUGAAAGAAAAGUCAAACAAAUUUGCACCUGAAUAGAGGUCAGUAUAGCUGCAACAUCAUAUAUAGGACUCCACUGAUUUUGUAAAAUAUCCAAACAAAUACUUCCAUCUGCAUAGACUGAACAAACCAUAGGCACAAGUCAGAAAUCAGAGUCAAUCAUUACGAAGACCAUGUGCAAUAUAAUAACAAGCAACAUAUCAUUUAUCACCAAAAUUCAAAGAGAACAAUAACAAGAAAAAUAUAAUUAAUAAAUAAAUAGAAAAAUAAUUUACAAAUAACAUACUAUUUGGAUGAAACAUCCGUGAGACGAAACGAACUGUUGGGGGUUUAUUUGGAUAAUCCUCUGUGAAUUGUAGAGUCAACUUGAACGUACCUGAAGAAAUUCAAGAAAAUGCUUAGAUGACAAAUGCAAAAACCUAAAUAUUUCAACUGUAAAGACAAAGGAUAAGGCAUAAGCAAUCAUUUUUGUUAAGUAGGAGUAUUUAGGCCUCAAAUGCGACUGAAAGCAAGGAUAGCACGAUAUAGAAACAGAGGUAUAAUUAUUUACUAAAGCAGAUUGUCCACCAUCAUGCAGCAAUCGAUCUAAAGCCACUUCGGCAAUUAAAAUUCCAUCAAAAACACCAUUUACAUAAUUGGAACGUGAAAGCAUCGUUUACAAGAUAGCUCAUUCUGCUCAUAUUGACAGUCCUUCUGAUCAAAGAUGAUGACAAAAAAAAAAGAAAAAAAAAAGAAAAAAAAAAGAGGUGAUCGAAUUUUCUCAACAUCAAACCGGAAAAAAAAAAAAAAAAAACCACUAACACAAACAUGGACAAGGUAAUUAAAUUGUAACAAUAUAUACAAGUUAUGACCCACAACAGCAAAUACAACACAAGCCAAGAACCAUAGGAAUUCAACCAUGUUCUAUACACAGAAUCAGCUUAGUUACAGGCAAAAUAAAAAAGUCAGCUCAUCAAAGCUUUCGCUUAAUUAUACAUUAAAACUAAUGAACGAAACCUAACAAGCAAAAGCUGAGUGAAAAAUGAAAUCAAAAGCAUAAAAUUAUUUCUAUAAAGUAAAAAGACAAUAAAAUUCCCACCUCCGUCCCAGGGAGUAUCAUCGGGCCUGCAAAACACCACGAAAAAGGAAAAAAAAAUCAAAACAAAAACCAAAAGAAGUACAAAAAAGAAGAAAAGGAAGAAAAGAAAGUGUACCCAAAAAUAACGGCGUUCCACAACAUGAUGUUGUUGUCUUGAGGGGCACCGCUGAUGCCGGCGGGUGGAUCUUGCUGGAGGCGCUUGAAGUCCCGCAUCAGCCGCUUCUUCGCCGGUGUUGACAUGGCGACGUCGUGUUCUACAGAGAGAGAACGAGAGAGGAAAGUUCUAGAGAAAAGAGGGAUCUGAGCAAAAAUCUAAUCUAAAGAAGACUUUGUUGCUGCAUACGAGUUGCCAUGACAUAGCAAUAGGCCCAGGCAAUAGGCAUAACCUGUGCAACACCGCCAGCUAGUUUUGGUUUGUGAAUUGUGAUUGUGAUUUGUGAGUCCCACGCACACACUCUAGUCACAGCCGCCUUCUACUUUUUAUUUAUUACGCGUCGUGGGAUCUGAGCUGUUCAAACUUCAAAUUGUUUUAUGUCAUUUACCGCAAGGGCCACGUAAUUUUGUUAUGUAUUUCGAAAGAAAUUAACCGCCGCCACCACCACCAAAUUACUUUAUUUUUUAAGAAUCAUCCAUUUUACCAGUAAUUGUUUGUAAUGCUGAAAUAUCUUGCAUGGGAGUGGAGAGGAUAAAGUAUCUGAAACUCUUCAAUUUAAUUUAAUCCGAAUUGGGGUUCGCAUCCAGUUCGGAAACUUUUCUCACCCUUCACUGGCCCCAACGUUCAGAUUCUUAUGCUACUAAAUUUUAAUUCUAUAAUAUUAUCCCUCUCCUCUCGACGACCCAUAAAUAAAUACACACCUUAUUUUGAAAAUUUCUUUCCCAUAUUAACCCUCGAAUAAAUGCAGAAUUUUCUGGUCUUUCAUUUUGGCUUGACAUCAUCUAUAAUGGUCUGAUGGGGGCAGUUACAGUACAUGCAUGUAUCUCAUACAUGCAUGCAUAAAAAAUUAUCGUUAGAUUAAAUGGAGUAGAUCCAAUGGUUGAGAUUCAUCUUAGUGUUAAAUAAUAAAAAAAUUUACAAGAAAUGAAAACAUGUAAAACUGGCAACUUGAAACUUUGAACUAAUAAAUAUGAAACAACUACCAUUAAUAUUGAUAUUAUAACCAUUAAACUUGAAACCAAAAUAACUUGAAACUUUAGACAACGAAUAUGAAACUUGUGAUCAUAAACUUGCAAUCUCAAGAAUCAUACAAAUCAUGUACCAAUAAUAUAUGAAACAACUACGAUUAAUCUUGAUAUUAUGACCAUUAAACUUAAAAAUAAAGUAACUUGAAACAUAGGGUAAUGAACAUAAAACUUGAGAUCCUAAAAAUCAUACACAUCAUGAACCAAUAAAUAUAAAACAACUACCAUUAAUAUUGAUAUUAGGAUCAUUAAACUUGAAACUAAAGUAACUUGAAGCUGAGAGCAAUGAACAUGAAAUUUGGGAUCAUUAACUUACAACCCUGAAAAUCAUGCAAUUAAUAGACCAAUAAACAUGAAACACCUACCGUUAACUUGAUAUUGUGACCAUUAAACUUGAAACCACAAAGAAUUUGAAACUGAGGGCAAUACACAUGAAACUCAAGAUCAUAAACUUGCAACCCUGAAAAUCAUGUAAUUAAUGAGUCAAUAAACAUGAAACACUAUUAUUAACUUGAUAUUAGAACCAUUAAAUUUGAAACUAAAAAAACUUGAAACUGAGGGUAAUGAACAUUAAAUUAGGGAUCAUUAACUUGCAACACUGACAAUUAUACAAUUAAAUAGACCAAUAAAUAUGAAACAUCUAUUGUUAACUUGUUAUGGGAACCAUUAAACUUGAAAUCGAGGGUAAUAAAUAUAAAAUUUGAGAUCAUUAACAACCCUAAGAAUCAUAUAAUUAAUGAAUUAAUAAAUACAAAACACCUACCGUUAACAUGAUACCGAUAUUAUUAAACUUAAAACUAUUUUUUUAUUGUUAUCUGACCUAUAUUAGUAAAAUAAGUAUUAUUUUAUUUCAUAAUUUUUUAAUCGUUUAAGGAGCUCCAAGUUCUUUUUCUUUUUUUCCAACUGUUUGGCUGCCAAGUGGCAAUGUUUUUUAAUUUUUUUAUUCCUUGCAUGUAUGUAUGCAUGUAUUAAUUUAUUAUAGCACAGGCCUGAUUGCAAGCAAAAACACUUUAGGGUCCUACGCUCAUCCUGUUCGCUCAUAGCCUAGCAACAACCGAUUCGCGCCUCAAAACAUUUUCUAUCACUCUUCUCUUGCCCCGCCUACGUAAAUUUGGUGACAAUCAUCACCACAAGGUUAACAGUUGAAGAGGAGAGACAAAAAGCUAGCUGCCUAACUGCCAAUGCCUGUUAAGUUACGUCCUGCAUCCCAUCAAGUAUGGUCCUGUAGCCACCUCCUAACUUAAUUGCCUCCCUUCAUCCCUAUUUCAGAGAAUAUAAUUACAAGGUUUCACCUCCAGCAAUGCGGACAUUGUCAAGCUCAAGCAUAUUGAAAAACAUAGAUAAAAAAGAGGGAGGUUAUAAUACAUUCCAACAGUAAUGGAGAAAAAAGGGCUUCAACAGAAUAAGCAAUCACCAUAAAAAUACAAUGCAAGAUGGCCGUUCACAACAUCCAAAAAUCCGACUAAAUAAUUCCAAUGAAAAAGAGCUCCUCUGAGGUUGUCUUAAGACAUACAUCACUGAUUCACUGCAGCAAUAAUACCCCUAUACAAAUGCUACAGAUAAAUUACAGUUACAUGAAAGAUGUUGAAAAGAAGAAGAUGGAAAUGUUGAGAAAUUAACAAGAGGUUCAACCAGAGCUAUCUGGGAGGAAGAAUCUGAAGAGAUUCUCUAAUAACAAUGCACCUGAAAUCAGAUUGAUUACGGAGUACACGACUAUUGAACAAACCAGCCACACCAGCCCCAGUUUUCAUCUUUUAUUUCUACAGCAUAACCGGCCGGUGCUUUCAUUGGACUUUUAGUCGGCUGUCCAGCUUUGCUCCACUAUUUCACGCACUCUUCGGUUGUACUCUCGUUUAUUCUCACUAAACAGCCGAGCUGCUUCAGAAUUUGCAGGGGAGUUUGGAUUUGGAUCACAAAGCAGCGACUGGUAAAGACAUAUAAGUAGUGUCAUGUUAGAAUCAUAAAUACAACCACUGCGAAUCUCACAAGCUCAUUUGCUUCAAGAUCAACCAUCAUUUGUACUAAAUAUCAUUUGAAAACCAAGUUGGCAAGUGCAUACAUAACAUAUUUGAAAGCAAUUGACUAACCAAUUACACCAAAAAAAAUAAAGUUUUGAAAUAAUGGGGAAGAUAAUACAGGGGGCCAACAUAUGGUGACAGAAUCAAUGAAACCUGGUACUAAGGAACAUUUCAAUUUAAUGAAAACAUGUGUACUAACUAACAUCGACAUAGCAAAACAGGAUAAAAUAUCCUGAAAACCAAACAAUGCAAUCCUUGUCAUCACAAGGCAAAUAUGGAAAUGUUCCAAUGCAUUUUAGUAAGUAUUAGAUAUGGUACGUACAACAACACUUUUUUGAAAAUUGGAUAUUGAUGAUCGUCUCAAACAUGGAAGAUUCACUUUUUAACUUUGUUUAAUAUAACAAAAAAAUAUACAUAAUGAUGCAAAAAGGCCUUCACGGUACAGAAAUGUAAGCCGACAGAUGCUUUCGGACGUCAUGAGCACUAAGAUCUUAUUAGGUUCAGAUACUCUUAGAUAUAUUUAGCCAAUAAUAUCAUAUGUUUGACUUAGUUGAGUAUACCAUUCAAACUAUCUCCUCAUUUCCUUAAAAUGGGAGGAAUUACAUAUACACGAAACAAAAGGACAAAACAAGUUACCAGUCAUAUCAUUAGUAUCUUCUUUCUUUGAUGCAAAAGCACAAUUUUCUUGCAAGUUCUCGAUAAUCAGGCAUUAAUUAUAAGAAAUUAAGCACAGUGAAAACAUCCAAUUUCAAUCAAUGAUAAACAAGAAACAGAAUCUCUUUCCAAUAGACAGGAAUGAACAAGAAAAGUCAAAACGAAGUUUCACCUGGAUGGAGGUCAGUAUAGCUGCAACAUCAUAUAUAGGACUCCACUGAUUUUGUAAUAUAUCCAGGCAGAUACUUCCAUCCGCAUAGACUGAUCAAACCAUAGGUAAAGAGUCAGAAAUCAAAAUCAAUCGUUAUCAAGACCAUGAGCCAUAGAAUCCCUAUAGCACAAUAAUCAGCAAAAUUCAAAGAAAGAAUAAUAGCAAGAAACUUAUCAUCAAUAAAACAUUAGCAACAAAAUUUAAAAAUAAGAUAAUGACGUACUAUUUGGAUGAAACAUCCGUGAAACGAACCGAACUGUUGGAGGUUUAUUCGGAUAAUCCUCUGUAAACUGAAGAGUCAACUUGAACGUACCUAGAAAAGUUCAAGAAAUAGCUAAAACAACACUUGCAAAAACCUAUAACUUUCAAGAAAAAGAGACGCUAUAACGAAAUAUGAUAAGUCAUAGGCAAUCAUGUUACUUAAUGGUGGUUCAGGUUUAGUGGGAGUCUUUAUUUUAAGCCUACAAUGUAAAUCAAAGCAAGUAUACCAUAACAUACAACCUAACAUAUAAUUAAUUACAGAAGCAGAUUGUCCACGAUUAGGUAACAAAAAUUCAACAAAAAUAAGCUACAAUCAAAUAUUAGGCAAAACCAAUAAUUCAGCUUAACAAAAGUUUUACAUUUUUACAGCUGAAUGAAAGUAAAAUUAAAAGCAUAAAUAUUUUGUAAAAAUCAAAGAUAAUCAAAUACCCACCUCCGUCCCAGGGAGUAUCAUCAGGCCUACGAAACAUCACCAAAUGAAAAACAAACAAGAAAAUCAAAACAUAAACCAGAAAAGUUACAAGACAAAAACAAAGGUUAAUUAAAACAAAUACCCAAAAAUAACGGCGUUCCAUAACAUGAUGUUGUUGUCUUGAGGGGCCCCGCUGAUUCCGGCGGGUGGAUCUUGCUGGAGGCGCUUGAAGUCCCGCAUCAGCCGCUUCUUCGCCGGUGUUGACAUAGUGGCGUUUUAGAGAGCAAAACUG